rnacentral:lncRNA from 1 species
UCUCAAGAUGAAAAUAAUUGUAGUACUAAGACAUCAUCGUUGAGGUUGAGAUUCAAGAAUUCGUGUUUGAGGAAGAAAAAGAGAAUAUACAAAUUGCGCAAUUGGUUCAUUGACUCAAUUUUAUUCAAGAUUGCCUCUCUCUUUGAAGCAAUUGUUAUGGUUUCUACCUUAGCUUUCUUCUUAUUCUCUUAUGGUUUUCGUAUUUGAUUCGUAUUUAUAUUUUUAUAUAUAUUCUCUGUAAACCAAGGGUUCAUUAUUAUUGGACAAAAGUUGAUAUCUAAUAGGGGUAUAAGGUUCAUUUGAUUUAUUAAUUUAGUUUUCUUUAUUGAUAUUCUCAUGUUUAUACACUAGGAUUCCCAUUUUGCCGUUUAGUUUUUCGAUUUAGAUAUUUUCAAUAAAAUACAUAAUUCAAUAAAUAAGUAAAUAACAUAUAUAAUGAGAUUUUAACAUCAAAAUAUGAGAUUUUGAUUGGUAAAUGGUAAGAUUUUCAAGAACUCAAAUUUUUAGCUUAAAUGGAGAUUUUGACCUCCAAGUAGGUCCCUUUUCAAAAUAAUUUUUCACCAAUGAGUUUCUAAAGUUUUGAGUAUUGCUUUCAAGUAUUAAAUUUCGGAUUCAAACUUUUCCUUUUGAAAUUGGGUUUGAGUGAGUUGACCCAUUGUGCUAAGCAAUUGAUGUGGGUAUUGUUGUUUCCGGAAAGUGAUUGUGGAUACUUGCUUGUAUAUUGAUUGAUUUAAGACAAGCGAUCUCCUAAACCUUGUAUUCUAGUAGAAUCGUGUAUUCCCUUUGUUGUUUGUGUAUUGGAAAUAAUGGGGAUGGGGUGAAAGGUUAAUUGUCCACUUGAUAAAUCUUAAUGGAUAGAAAGGGUUGAAAUUGAAAAGGUUAUGUGAUGAACAAGAUGAUGUGAAUUGCCUUGUUGUGACCCUUAUUGAUUGAUUGAUGAAAUGCUUGAUAGCAUAAAUGUGGACUUGAUUUGCAUGAAUUAUUGUCUCUUCCAUGUGGUGUGAUAUUGCGUGUGUGCAUUGAUGGUUGAACACUGUGAUGUGGCAUGUGAUGUUUAUGAUUCUGAGGUCAUCGCCGGUGAGUGCUAUUAUUCCUAGGUCAUUUCCGGCAAGUGUUGUGAUUCCAAAGUCAUUUCCGGCUAGAGGAUUGAUAUAAAACCGAUGGAAAAUGGUUCCGGCUAGAGAUAUGGUACCGAUGCUACUUGAUUCGUUUGAUUGUUGAAUUGUGACUAUUGAACUGUAAUUAUUGAGCCUUGCGAGUUGUGCAUUGUAGAACUGCUAGGUUGGGCUGAUUUCUGUGAAAGUUGUAGUAUGAGGAGGUUCGAUUGGAAUGUAAGGGGUAUUCAAUUUCUAGGUAGAUGCCUUGUUUAUUAGGUUGCACUCCUUAUUUCUACACUUGUGUAGGUUCCGAGCCCGGUUUAGCGUGAUCGUCCUUCUUCUCUUACCUUUUUAGGCUUAUCAAAGGACUAUCGAGAGUAACUUUUGUCAUCCCGGCGGGCCCUCUUUUCCUUUUCUUUAAGCUUUGUUCUAAUUGAGAAUCAAAGAUUGAGAUUUGUACUUAUUUCUUAAUUUCACACUUUAUGUAUUUAGUGGUUUGUACACGUGACAACAAGAUUUUGAGGGUUUUAAUAGAAAAAAUAAGUUUUUCUGUUUUAUCUUGUUCUUGCUUUAUUAUUUUCCGCAUUUCUUUCAUUUUCGUUGGGUUGAGACUAACUUGUCUUGGUGGGAAUAUACAAGUGUCCUCGCGUCUAUGUUUGGGUCGUGACAUCAUCAUAGAGUAGUUCCUUAAAUCAUGAUUCAUACAUGUGUGAGAAAACUAUUGACCAAUCAAGAUUUCUUAAUAUGUGAGAAAACAUUUCACAAUUCAUGCAUAUGUGAGAAAACCUUUCAUCGAUGAUUUUCUUAAAGGCAACCUUAAUUCAUAAAACUUAAGCAUAUAGCAUGAGAGUUGAGUAAUUUGAAGGAAAAAAAUGUGUUUGCAACAAAAGUAGAAAUUCAUAUCUUCCCAAUAAAUUAAAUUAGGAAAAAGGAAUAAAGAAGAAUAAAUUAUAGUGUUGACACUAUACAUCUCAACUUAGGUUAGUACAUAAUUAACACAUUUAAUCAUCGUUUAUAAUGUUUUGAACCUGUUAUUAUCAUUUCAAAGUAUAUAGCCGCUAAUAGUACUUAUUAUUAUUAUUAUUAUCAACAAAUUAAAGAGAGGGUCUCCAUAGGCAGAUUUUUGAUAGAAUUUAUUACUAGCUAAUAUCCCCAAGUUAUUUUUAUUUGUUAAUUUAUUACAUAAGAUAAAUUUAUUUUAUUUUCAAAAUAAAAAUCUCACUUUUUAUGAAAAUUAUUUAUAACUAUAUUCUAGAUAACUUGAUGAUAUAAUAAUUUUUUUAAAAUAUAUAUAUUAAUCUAUGAUAUUACAAGUAAAUAUUAUUUUUUUCUAUUUGAGCAACAAAUAGAAUAAAGAUAUAUUAAUUUACACAAUCUCAAAAUUUUGAUGUGAGGGCAGAUAUGGUAAAGUUGAUAAUAUAAGAUAUAACAGUAGUUUUUGUUGGGAAAGGCAAGGCACUAUCAAAGAAUGCUCGGAAGGAUAGCAGCGGAAAAAUAUCAAAGUCUAAACUUUCCCUUACAAUUUGAAUCAAUAGAAGAAAAAACUAAAUCAAUCAAUACGAAGAAUCGACAACAAGUAUAUCAACCAAACAAAAACAAUAAGAUAAGAAUAAAUCAAUCACACAAGACACAAAGAUUUACAUGAAAAACUCUUCGAUGUGAAGAGUAAAAAAUCACAGGACCAAAAGCUCCACUAUAACCCCAAGAGUUGCAAUAUUGUUCUCCAAAAUUGGCCACAAAAGAAGUGCCAAAUAACUAGCAAUAACGAAAUAAGAUUGCACCAAAACUAGAGAAUUAAAGGAGAGAAUCCACUAAAAAAGAGCUAUUGUUCACACCCCAAAAUCAAAAGCUACAGAUAACUAAAUCUAAUCUCCACCGUUGAAAUACAAGAAUUAUAUAGUGAAAACUCCCGGUUCAAAUUUGUGUACGAUCCAACGGUUAACGAAGUGAAGUACUCUGUUUAAAGUGGACUGCCUGUGCAGAAAAUUCCUUGAAGCAAAAACAUGAUUUUUCUCUUUCUCUCAAUCUCUAAAACAACUCUCUCUUGACUUUUUUCUCUCAUUUGUCUCAAAAUAAUACCUAAAUAAGCCUUAUAUAUGCCACAUAAUAUUGGUAUUAUGGGUUAAAGUGGCUGGUCUAAAUAAGACUUUUAUUUAUCCACACCGAAAAGAAAAAAGAUCCUAAAUCCAACAAUUCUCCGCCUCACAACUAUGUGGAGGAGACCGCCAUCCUGGCGAUCAAGCAACAUUCUUUAAACUUCCCUCUUAGCAAAACUUUAGUCAUCAUGUCAGACCCAUUUUCAUCUGUAUGAAUCUUUUCAAACUCAAGCAACUUAGAAUCCAACACAUGUCAAAUCCAAUGGUACCUUACAUCAAUGUAUUUAGACCGACCAUGAAACAUAGAAUUCUUGCCAAGAUGAAUAACUCUUUGACUGUCGCAAUAAAGCACAUACCUCUCUUGAGCACAACUAAGUUUUCCAAAAAUCUCUUCAUCUAGAUCAACUCUUUGCAAGCUUCUACAAAAGCAAUAAGCUCGGCUUCUGCAGAUAAAUCAAAGCAUUUUUGCAACCUAGAUUGCCAUGACACAGCUUCCCUUGCAAAAGUAAUCAAGUAGUCUGAAGUAAACUCACGAGUAUCAACAUUAUCAGCCAUACCAGAAUCAAUGUAACCACAAAUAAAAGGAUUCCCUAUACCAAAACACAAACUAGAAGUGCCACAAAGAUAUCUCAUAACCCACUUCACUGCAUUCCAAUGUUUUCUUCCCAAAUUAGAGAGAAAACGGCUAACAACAACAACAACGUAUGCAAUAUUCGCUCUUGUACAAAUCAUUGCAUACAUCAAACUACCAAAAGCUGAAGCAUAAGAAACUUUCUUCAAAUCUUCCCUCUCAUCAUAGCUAGAAUGACACUGCUGCUUCAUGCUCAAUUUGAAGUGCAUAGCUAAAGGUGCAUUGACAACCUUAGCUUUGUCGAUGUUGAAUCUGCGAAGUACUUUUUAAAUGUACUUCUCUUGUGAUAACCACAACUUCUUGUCCUCUCUGUCACAGACAAUCUGCAUACCAAGAAUCUGCCUUGCUGGUCCCAAGUCUUUCAUAGUAAAAGACUUACUCAACUCUUGCUUUAACUUCUGAAUCCUGCAAGUAUUAUGACCAACAACAAGCAUGCCAUCAACAUAAAGCAACACAAUAAUAAAGUCACCACCAAAGAAUUUUUGCACAAAAACACAAUGGUCUGAAGAAGUCUUCUUGAAGCCCUACUGACUCAUAAAAAAAACAAACUUUCUAUACCAUUUUCACUGUAUUCCAAUGUUUUCUUCCCAAAUUAGAGAGAAAACGGCUAACAACAACAACAACGUAAGCAAUUUUCGCUCUUGUACAAAUCAUCGCAUAUAUCAAACUACCAAAAACUGAAGCAUAAGAAACUUUCUUCAGAUCUUCCUUCUCAUCAUAACUAGAAUGACACUGCUGCUUCGUGCUCAAUUUGAAGUGCAUAGCUAAAGGUACAUUGACAACCUUAGCUUUGUCGAUGUUGAAUCUGUGAAGUACUUUUUAAAUGUACUUCUCUUGUGAUAACCACAACUUCUUGUCCUCUCUGUCACAGACAAUCUGCAUACCAAGAAUCUGCCUUGCUGGUCCCAAGUCUUUCAUAGUAAAAGACUUACUCAACUCUUGCUUUAACUUCUGAAUCCUGCAAGUAUUAUGACCAACAACAAGCAUGCCAUCAACAUAAAGCAACACAAUAAUAAAGUCACCACCAAAGAAUUUUUGCACAAAAACACAAUGGUCUGAAGAAGUCUUCUUGAAGCCCUACUGACUCAUAAAAGAACCAAACUUUCUAUACCAUUUUCUAAGAGCUUGUUUCAAACCAUACAAGUUCUUCUUCAAUUUGAAAACAUAAUUCUUUUUACCCUUUACUUCAAAACCUUCUGGCUGCUCCAUAUAAUUUUUUUCAUUCAAGUCAUCAUGGAAAAAAGCAGUUUUAACAUCCAUUUGCUCAACCUCUAAAUCUAGACUUGCAGCCAAGCCUAGAUUCACACAAAUGGAUGACAUCUUCACAAUUAGAGAACAUCUCAUCAAAAUCAACUCCCAUUUUCUGGUUAAAUCCCUUCAGAACUAAUUUAGAUUUGUACCGUAGAAUUGGAAUACCUUCUUCAUGUUUACCUAGAAAAUCCACAUGUUUUUAAAGCCUUUCGAUAUUUAGGUAACAUAACCAAAUUGAAGGUGUGAUUAUCAUAUUAGGAUUUAAUUUCAUCUUCCAUUUCAUUAAACCACCUUUCGUUUUAUUCACUUUACAUGGCCUCAUCAAGACUCUUAUCUUUUCCCCCAUCAGUCAAUAGUACAUACUCAUUAGGAGAAUAACGAGAUGAAAAAAUUCUCUCUCUAGCAGGUCGUCUGAGAGAAAUCUCCGAAUCAUCAAUAAUUGGUUCUGGGUCACCAACAUCAUCUACCAAUGGAGAAUCAACAACAUCAUACUGGUAAUUUUGAACAUGAUCACCAUCUUCAUUAACAACUUGACUUUCAUCAUUAUGAAGAGUUUCUUCAGUGCAAUAGUCAAAGGAACUGGAUCAACAUCAAUUAGGCUCUUAGUGCUCUGAGAAUCAACUUUCUUGGCUUUGUCAAGAUCUUCAAUUGUUUGGUCUUCAAAGAACACAACAUCACGACUUCUAACAGUUUUUCUCAACUAGCCAAAUUCAUCUUGAUCAUAACAAAGGUACAUUGCCUAGUUUUGACAUACAACUUUGACAUCUCAUCCUUAGCAACAUGCACAAAGGUUUUACACCUAAAAACUUUAGGAUGAUCAUAAGAGACAUUCUUACCAGAUCAAACUUGUCAGGGACAUGACCAUUCAAAGCAAGAGUAAGAGAUAAAUUGAUAACAUAGGUAGAAAUAUUAAGUGCUUCCGUCCAAAAGGAAUCUGGUUGUUUAGCAUCUGAAAGCAUACAUUUAACCCUCUCAAAUAGAGUUUUGUUCAUCCUCUUUGCUAAACCAUUUAGCUAAGACAUAUUUGAAGGAUUUUUUUUAUGCCAACUACCCUGCUCACUGCAAUAUCUAUCAAAAGAAUCAAUAUACUCAUCAUCAUUAUCAAAACGGAUGUGUUUUAAUUUCCUUCCUGUUUGUCUCUCAACCAAGGCCUGAAAACUCUUAAACGCAUCAAGGACUUGACCCUUGAACUUCAAAGAGAAUACCUAGAGUUUGCAAGAAUGAUCAUCAAUAAAAGUCACAAAGUAAAGUGCACCACCAUGAUACUUUUCCUUAAAAGAACCACACAAAAUAAAAUUUACCAACUCCAGCAAAUCAAGCUUCCUUGAAGGCAUAUGACUCUGAAAAGAAACUCUUUUUUGUUUAUCGGCUAAGCAAUGAACACAUUUGUUCAACUUUUCUUGUUUCACUCCAGAAAGCAAAUUCUUCUUAGUCAAUUUUUUCAUUCCCUUCUUGCUCAUAUGACUCAGUCUUUUAUGCCAUGACUAUGAUGAAGUAUCAUUCUCCACCAAAUUUAUCAAGCCUAUAAAAAUGGAGCCCUAGAAUACGUACAAGUUAGACAACUUGUCACCACAAUCCAAAACCAUCGAAUCUCUAGUAAGCUUCCACUGGCCAGCACCAAGGGUAUAAACAUAACCCUCAUCAUCAAGGUAUCCCUCAGAAAUCAAAUUCAAGCGAACCUCUAGAGGAUGUUAUAAUAUUAUUGAAGACUAGUUUGGAUCUAUUGUUACUUUUCAAACAAACAGUCGCAAUGCCAAGAACUGCAACCUCAUGAUUAUUGUCCAUUUUCAGCAUGCCACAAUUACCUGGAGUAUAAGAAGAAAAUAAUUUCUUUUUUGGAGUGACAUGAGAAGUAGCACCAGACUCCACAAACCAGCUAAACUCAUCACGAACAAGAUUGACAAAAUUUUCAUCACAAAAAUAAGAAGAUCAUCAUUAGCAGCAACAACAACACAAUUUUCAUUAUCGCCUUCUUUCUUUUGUUCUCUCAUAUAUCACUUAUACCUAAAGCAAUAUUUUUUUAUAUGCCCAUUCUUGUGGCAAUAGUCACAUGUAACAUUCUUAUAUUUAGACUUUGACUUACCUCUACUUUUAUAUCUGCAUUCUAACCUCUGAACUUGCUUCUCCCCUGUCUUCAGUAACCAAAACAUCGAAGUGUGAAGUAGAAGAAGAUAAGCCUUGAGGUCUUCUUCUCUUCUCUUCAUUCAAGACAUCAUUCUUAGCAUAUUCUAUAGUUACAACACCACUAGGAGCAUAAUUAGUCAAAGAAAUUCAAAGAGUUUUCCAAGAGUCUGGCAAAGUGUUAAGAAGUAAAAGUCCAUGUAUCUCUUCAUCGAACUUUUCAUUCAUUUCGGACAACUAGUCAAGAACACCUUGAAAAUUAUUAAUAUGAUCAGAAAUAUGAGUGUCCUCUUUAUACUUGAUGUUCAUUAAUUGUUUAAAUAGAAAUAACUUAUUGUUGUCAGUCUUUGAAGCAUAGAGUGUCUCAAGCUUGUCCCAAAAUCUUCUAGCAUGUGUCUUAUUCACAAUGUGAUUUCUAACAUUAUCUUCAACCCAUUGUCUGAUAUAGCCACAAACAUGUAAGUGCUCAAAUUCUUAUUCCUGAUCCAUCAUGGAUUGAGGCUUAUUAGAAACAAACACAGGUAAAUGCAUCUUUUUUUAAAAUAGAAGAUCUUUCAUCUUGCCUUUUCAAGUAUGAUAGUUACUACCAUUCAAACAAACCAUCUUGCUCAUAUUUUUCUCCACCGUUCAAAUCGAUAAUCAACAAUAACCUUAUGCUAUGAUAACACUUUGUUGGAAAAGGAAAUGCACUAACAAAGAAUGCCCGAUAAUAUAGCAACAGAAAAAUACCCAAGUCUAAACUUUUCCUUUAAGUUUGAAUCAAGUGAAGACAAACUAGAUCAAGCAGUACGAAGAAUUGACAUCAAGUAUAUCAACCAAACAACAACAACAACAACAACAAGAUAAGAAUAAACAAACACACAAGACACAAAAAUUUACAUGGAAAACCCUUCAAUGCGAAGAAUAAAAACCACAUGACCAAAAGCUCCACUAUAAUAACCAAGAGUUACAAUAUUUUUCUCCAAAUAUAGCCACAAAAUAAGUGUCCAACAAUGAGUAUCAACGAAACAAGAUUGCACCAAAACUAGAGAAUUAAAGGAGAGAAUUCACCAAAAAAUGAGCUACUAUUCAUAACAAAAAAUCCAAAUCUAAAGACAACCAGAUCCGAUCUCCACCGUUGAAAUGCAAGAACCAUAUGUUGAAAACUCCCAGUUUAAAUUUGAGCACGAUCCAAUGGUUAACGAAGCAAUAAACUGUGUUUAAACUAGACAACUUGAGCAGAAAAUUUCUUGAAACAAAAACGAGAUUUUUCUCUCGUUCUUUCAAUCUCUAAAUGCCUCUCUUUCUAUUUCUCUCUCUUGUGUGCCUGAAAAUAAGACCUAAAUAAGCCGUAUAUAUGCCACAUAAUAUUGACAUUUAUUUAUUCACAUAGGAAGGAAAAAAUCCUACACCCACUAUUUUAACUCAAACUCAAUAUUUAUUUUAAAUUUUAAUCAACAUCUAUAAAUUUUCAAUUUCAAAUGAUCAUAUCAAUUAACUUAAAGAAUGUUAUUUUCUCUCGUUCAUAACUUCAUAUUGAAUUGUGCUUUUAAUUUAGGCAAACCCCUUUUAAAAUCUACUAUUUUCUAAAAAUUAAAAGUGUAUCUUGGUUUAAAUAUAAAAAAAUCACUUAUCUAAAUAAGGAUAAUAAAAAAGAAAUAAUUAAUUCCUUUUUAGUUAUGUGAAACACUAUUUAUUUUGAACUAAAAUAGAAAAAUAAAAUUAUCAUUUAAUUAGACUAGGAGGGAGUAAAAUAAACAUCAAAUCUUGUAUUAGGCACACAUUAUUUAUACGCUUCCUUGGAGUAGCAUCCAUCCUCCUACUUUUUUAUUUUUGACUUUUCCAUAAAAAUACCUUUAUUCCAAUCUUAUAUAUCUAUAUAUACCAAAACCCCUCAUUGACUAAUUAGACUUUCCUAUUUCAAGAAAGAAUGAAUUUUGAGGAUUCAUAUCACAUUAGAUUUAAUCUCGAUCAAAUAGUUGAAAUUCAUUUCAAGAAAUAAUUGAUAUUUGAGGAUUCACACCACGUUAGAUUUAAUCUCAAAAGUUGAUCAAAUUUAUUCUCCAGACUCUAUUUCGACUUGCCUUGUACACACGUGAGACAUAUGAACCUUGGGCUCUGAUAUCAUUUGUCACGAUAAAAAAUGCACGUGAUGACACUCAUUUUAUCCCACCGAGACAAGUCAGCCUAACACCCAAAACUACAAUACAAAAUGUAGAAAGUAAGCUAUCAAUAACAUAAGUGUGAAAAAUUUAGAUAAAAUACAUAACUACCACCAAAAUCUGGUUGUCACGUGUAUAAGCCACUAAUGUAUAAAAGCACUUGAAUAGAACGAAGCAUAAAAUAAGGAAUAAGAGGACCCACCGGGAUGACAAGCAACUACCUCGCAACGUGUCCUCAAAAGCCUUAGAAGAAAUGUCACACAAGUCUAGGUCCGAAUCUACACAAGUGUAGAAGCAAUGAGUGAGUACCAAUCAACACGGAACUCAACAAGCAAUCCAAUAACACAAGGUAAAACUAGCCUAGAUUACAAAUACUCAUUUCAUCCCAACCGAACCUCCUCAACUAAAACCUGCACAGAAAUCAGUUCAGCCUAACAAUUUACAAUAUACAACUCACACGGCUCAACAAUCACAAUUCAACAUUAACAGUUCAACAAUCACUAGUAUCACAUUAAUCAAUCACAAGUAUCAAGUUGGAAUUUAUGGGGAAUACCCAUAGUCCAUGCACUCGCUGACAAUGACCUUGGCAUAAUAGAACCCACACGGCAAUGACCUCGACAUCAAUAACAUUCUUCAAAAAUGACCUCGACAUCAAUAACACUCACCGGAAAUGACCUCGGCCUAAUAACCUCGCAUCUCAUCAUAAUGCCCAGAAUCAAUGUGAAUGAGCAUACUCACACAAUAUUGAAGAGAUGAUAAACUCAAGCAAUUCAAGUUCACAAUAAUAUUAUCAAAGCAUUUCAUCAAUCAUGAGUUCAAUGUUCACACCAAGACAAUUCAUAAUACACAAUACAUCAUUAACAACACAUUACCUUUUUCAUUAAACUGCAUUUAUAUCGAUAAAGCUAAUCAAAUGAGUAAAUUAACCCAUCACCUCACUUCCAUUGCUUCCCAACACACACAAUGAAGGAAAAUACAAGUUUCUACAAGUUUUAACAAUGUUUAGAGGUCUUGUCUUAAUCAAUCAAAAGUCACUCUAGGACUUGAGCUUUUCCCCUCCGAAUAAUAUCUAAAGCAACACAAUCUAAUCAAAUAAGUAAUCACAAUGAGAUUUUGAAACUAAUAACACACAUAUCAAGCACUUUAAAAAAUGGGUCAAUUCGACUCAAAAAAUAAAUUCCAAAAAUUAGGUUUGAAAUUGAAAAUCAUUACUUAAAUACGUUACCCAAAACAUUUGAAACUCAUUGGUGAAAGCCAUUUUGAAAAUAAAGGUGUAUUCAACUCAAAAUCACCAAUUUACUUCAACACCCAGUUAGUCUUGAAAACCUUUUCAUUUUGCCAAUCAAAAAUCUCUAUUUUUUUUAAUGUUAAAACUACAAAUGAUAAUGGAGAAUUGAAGACUUAGGGUUACAAACACUUACCCAAAAAAUUUAGUACGAUAAGUCUCCUCAAAAUCACCUUCAACUGUUCUUCAAAAUUCAAAAUGGAGAAAUCCCAAAAAAACAAACUAAAAGGCUCCCAUGUCUCGCUUUUGCAAACCCAGGGUCACUUACACAAUCAUCGCAAUCCUAGUUCAAAAAAUCGAACUCUGAAAAGUUGGCUAGUAAUCACUUUCGCGAGCCGGCCUUCACUAAAGCGAAGGUCGCGAAAGCGACAACCACUCGCAAACGCGAAGGUCUAGGGGAACCGACCCCUUGCGAAUGUGACUAGUAUAUCACGGAAGCAAUGUUUGCGAAAGCGAACAACCUCUCGUUAACGUGAGGCACACAUGGUAAUAGAAAAUUCAUCCAACUUUCAAAAUUCCUAAAUGAUCCUCAGAAUUCGUUCGGAACCCAUAUACACAAAUUAAAUAUGUAACUCGACGAUACUCAACGUUUCAAAUAUAAUGGAACUAUUGAAAUACGAAUCUGAGAUCUCCUAGACCCGAAUCUCGUGUAAAUCACAAGAAACUAACACAACACCUAAAACUGACAAACUAGCUCGGGACCUCUUAAAAUUCAACCAAGAUCUCUGCCUAAGCCUAAAAUCAUCUCCCGAAUUCAAUGGAAUUGUUGGAAAUUCGAUCCGGGCAUCCAAACUCCAAAUGUUAACAAAGUCAACCUAAAGGCUAAAUUCUCACCAAUUUUCAAGUUAGGACCUCAAAUCCAGGAAAAGACUCUGAAUGUAACACUCCGGAAACUAGUAGGCUAAACUAGAGCUUAACAUGUGGGUUAAAGUCGUAAAUGUAACUCCCCGUACUUAAAAAUAAUGGGUUUCAUGUUAGGAUGUCAAGGUACGACCCCCAAGAACCAACUAUGGGUCCUUGAGGAAGACCCUAGAAAAGUUGCAUGUAUAGUGACCCACGAAGGGGACCUACACCACGUAGGUCAACCCACACCCAUGGGUGAGAGGGCCGUAGGUCAGGCCCUAAAAAUCAAGUCCCACAACCCAACCCACGCUUCACCAGCACGGGCCGUAGGUCCAACCACGGUCCGUCAGUGGUAGGUCUUGGAUGGUCACCUGGAAGCUGAUUUGGAGGGUUAAGUUAGAGGGCACUUUGGGGUUUUCCAGGUUUAAUUAAUACUAAGUGAGGUUGUUUUAGCCUAUUUUAGAACACCUAUAUAAGGAUUUAAGCUCACAAAAUUUACUCAUCUUCCUCAUUAUUCCAAAAUCCCAAAUAAAAACCAACUUUUCCCCAAAUAUUCUCUCUCUAGAACUUCAAAGAAAACGAAGAAGGAAGUUGGAGCUAGGGUUCAAUGAGCAAGGUUUUCUUCUCAAAUUCAUUGGAUUUCAUUGCUAAGGUAUGGUAGUUCUUCAUACAUGGAUAUAAUUCAUCCAUGGAGCCCCUUCAAAACCUCAAUUUCAAAGAUGGAAAUUCCCCAAAAGUUAGGGUUUUACUCCAAGUCAUGGGUUCCUUUAAAAAAUGAUUCUAGUGAUUUAAUUACUUAUACUAUGAUUGAAUUUAUGAUCUUUUAUGGUUUUUAUGUUGAAAUCCCCAAGAAUCCAUGAAAUCCCCCAUAUUACUCAAUUAUGAUCUUGUGAUGUAGGUUUGUUGAUGAAAGAAGAGUAUUAUGAGAUUUUACAUGUAGUGAUUUGAUUACUUGAAUUAUGAUUAUAUCCAUGUCUAAAGUAGUGAAUUCUAGAUGUGUUGAUUGAAUAUGAUCAUUGAUCCUUGAAGGGUAAAGUAUGAGAAUUAUGCAUGAUUAUGAGAUUUAUGUAUAUGCUUUAAGAACACUUUGAGAGUAAAGUGAUUAUGAUUAUGAUCUAGUUGUUGUGUUGUUGAAAGGUUAUCCUCAUAUACACACUUACGUAUGAAUAUGAUAUGAUGUGAGGGGUUUUCUCAUAAUAUGAUGAUUCUAAGGUUGAAAGACUAUUCUCACCUAUUGAAUCUAGGAGCUAUCUUAUGAGUUAUGUUGGAUUGAGUGUCAAGACAUUCUUCCAUGAAUAUGAAUUUAAGUCAAGACUUAACAUGAACUCCGUGGGAAUUAAUGCUCAGCACCGAGUGGAUAUUGAUAUGAGAUGGGAACCCUCACAAUAGUAGAGACCGAGUUUCUAGGAACAAUCUCUUGGGAUGGAAGCCCUCACGAUAGUAGAGGUCGGGUUUCUAGUAGCAAUCCCCUUGUCCCAUAAACUAUGUGCCUUCAUAGGUCUUUAGAUAGUGGAUCCACCUAAGCUAAGAGUAUGGUUCUACCUUAGGAAAGUAGGACAACCCCUUUUCGGUGUGGGGUAGACACCGGAUUCCAUGUUAAGCUCACAUGGUCUAUGUCGGUUAAGGCUUAUACCACUAUGAUAGUAUAAACAAUAAUAUGAAUUAUGAACUAUAGCUACUCAAGAAGCUUUACUUAGUAUGUGUGAGAUUAUGGGAUCUUAUUCAUGCAUUACACAAGUAUGCUUUGAGGGUAUUUAUGAUAUGUUCAUCUUACGAUAUGAUGAUCUAUGAGUUGAUUAUGCUUAUGACUUAUGCUUUUUCCACUAUCUUCAAAAUGAUGUUUUAACAUAGUAAAUUGCAUGCAUUCAACUAAAUGUCCUUUUAGCAUUAUUUCAAUGUUUUUAUGCAUGGCUAUCAUACUUAGUGCAUUUUUGUACUAACACAUGCUUUUUCUACAUUUUCCGCAAUUGUAGGGUCCGGUUCUCAAGGUGGUCAUCAUUGUGGCUAAAGAUUGGAUUUGCUUAUUCUCCUAGCUUGUUGGUGAUUCCUCAUGAUUUAAGGACUGAUGUUAUCUUUGUAGUUCUUUUCUUGUAUUUCCUUUACGGACUAUGUUGUAUGGGCUGUGACCCUAUUUCUUUCAAGUAUUGUAAUAGAUGGCUAUAUUGAGACAAGUCUAGACUUUCGCUUUCCUUUAUGAAAAAUUUUGGACUUGAAAUGCGAUUUUACUCUUUAUUGUUCUAUUCUUAUGUUAUGAUACGUUAAGAGGCUUGUAUAAGGCUUCUCGGAGUCUUGCACACCGUGUUACAUCUAGGGGGUACUUUUGGGUCGUGACAAACUUGGUAUCAGAGCACAGGGUUUAGAUUGAUUCUAGGAUGAUGUAUCAUAAGCAACGUCUAGUAGAGUCUUGCUCAUGAGUGUGAAGCGCGCCACAUUUAUGAAUGUGAGGCUACUAGUUGAUUAGGAAACUACAUUUCUUUCAUUACUCUUAAGUCGUGCAAUAGAGUUUAACUCUAUAAAGUCCCUCUCUUAAUCCUUCUCUUAAAAUGAAUACACGAAGGGCUAAUGCUAGAAGAAUAGAGGGUGACAAUGUGAAUGAAGAAGCUCUUCAAGCUAAUCAAGCUCCGAUUGAUCCUUUAGUUAUGUCGAAUGUGGAGGUUAGGUCGGCUUUUCAAAUGUUGGCCCAAGCUUUGACUACUCAAGCUCAAGUUGUGACGGCUCAAGCCAACAGAGAGGUUGUAGCUAUGGUGAAUCCUAAUGUGAGUUCAGAGGCUUCAAGAGUGAGGGAUUUUUCAAGAAUGAACCCCCCGAAUUGCAUGACUCCAAAGUGGAGGAGGAUCCUCAAGAAUUUGUAGAAGAGGUUUAUAAAGUACUUGCUAUUAUGGGGUGACUUCGGUAGAGAAAGCAGAGUUGGUUGCUUACCAAUUGAAAAGUGUUGCUCAAGUGUGGUAUAAUCAAAGGAGGAGAAAUAGGCCGGUAGGAGCAAGUCGCAUAAAGUGGGAGGUGUUCAAAUUGGCGUUUCUUGAUAGGUUCUUUCCCCGAGAGUUGAGGGAAGCUAAGGUGGAAGAGUUCAUUAACCUUCAUCAAGGAAGCAUGAGUGUGAAAGAGUAUGCACUAAAGUUCACUCAAUUGUCCAAGUAUUCUCCAACUAUGGUGGCGGAUUCGAGGGAUGAGAUGAGUAGGUUUUUGACGGAUGUGUCUGGCUUGGUAGUAAAAGAAUGUCGUUCAGUAAUGCUCCAUCAUGAAAUGGAUAUCUCACGUCUUAUGGUGCAUUCCCAAUAAAUAGAGGAAGAGAAACUCAAGAAAAAGAAUAGAGAGGUGAAAAGAACUACGACCGGUGAUGGGAAAUUCUCCAAUGCUAAGUCUGAUGUACAAGGUCGACCAAGGUUUUCCAACCAAGGCUCCUCUAGUUCUCCAAGGGUCAACAAGGAUAGGGUUUCCAACCCUAAACCUCAAGGAGGUAAUAGUGGUGGUUCUUAUGUGGCUAGGCCUAAUUGUGCGAAAUGUGGAAGAAAACAUGAUGGUAAGUGCCUAGUUGGCUCGGACAGUUUCUAUGGUUGUCGAAAGAGUGUCCACAAGAUGAGAGAUUUCCCGAUGCUCAUGGCCAAGGGAAGAGAAGGCAAUUAAACUCCUCCAAGCGGUUCAAACUCCAAUGCCCCAAAGCAAAACCGUUUUUAUGCUCUUCAAUCCCGAGACCAAGAGAGCUCACGGAUGUUGUGACCGGUAUGUUAAAAUUCUUUCUUAUUGAUGUGUAUGCCUUGUUAGAUCUCGGUGCUACUUUGUCCUUUGUGACACCUUAUGUCGCCAUGAAGUUUGAUAUACUUCCCGAAGCGUUAGUGGAACCUUUUUUGGUUUCUACCCCGGUUGGUGACUCAGUGGUGGCUAAGAGGGUGUAUAGAAGGUGUCUCAUUUGCUUGUCCCAUAGAGUUACUUUGGUGUAUUUCGUAGAGUUAGACAUGUUAGAAUUUGAUGUGAUUUUGGGUAUGGAUUGGUUGUAUGCAUGUUAUGCCUCUAUCGAUUGUAGGACUCGGGUGGUUAGAUUCCAAUUUCCAAAUGAGCCUGUCUAAGAGUGAAAGGGAGGAAAUUCUAUGCCUAGAGGUCAAUUUAUCUCUGGUCUUAAAUCUAGGAAGAUGAUCUCCAAAGGGUGUAUUUACCAUAUUGUUAGGGUGAGGGAUGUUGAAUCUGAAACCCCUUCUCUAGAGUCGGUUUCGGUAGUGAAUGAGUUAUCGAAAGUUUUUCCUGAUGAUUUACCCGGUAUUCCUCCCGAUCGGGAAAUAAAUUUUGGUAUUGACCUUUUACCGGAUACAAAGCCUAUCUCUAUUCCUUCUUAUAGAAUGGCUCCGGCUGAGUUGAAAGAGCAACUAAAAGAUUUAUUUAAUAAGGGCUUCAUCCGAUCGAGUAUCUCUCCAUGGGGUGCUCCGAUGUUGUUUGUUAGAAAGAAGGAUGUGUCUCUUAGAAUGUUCAUCGAUUAUCGUCAAUUGAAUAAAGUUACCAUUAAGAACAAGUAUCAUCUUCUGAGAAUUGAUGACUUGUUUGAUCAAUUUCAAGGGGCUAGUUAUUUCUCAAAAAUUGACCUUCGUUCGGGUAUCACCAGUUAAGGGUGAGAGGGGUUGAUAUUCCCAAGAUGGCUUUCAGAACUCGAUAUGGACAUUCUGAAUUCCUUGUGAUUUCAUUUGGCUAAACUAAUGCUCCUGCGGCAUUUAUGGACCUAAUGAAUAAAGUAUUUAGGUAAUACCUAGACAUGUUUGUAAUUGUGUUUAUCGAUGAUAUUUUGAUCUAUUCAAGGAGUGAGAAUGAUCAUGAGGACCAUUUGAGAAUUGUGUUGCAAGUUCUUAAGGACCACCAACUUUUUGCAAAGUUUAGCAAGUGUGAAUUUUGGUUGAGAUCCGUAGCUUUCCUUGGUCAUAUUUGUCAAGCAAGGGUAUUGAGGUAGAUUCUAAGAAGACGGAUGAGGUCAAGAGUUGGCCUAGAGCUCUAACUCCUUUCUAUAUUAGAAGCUUUUUGGGUUUUGCCGGUUGCUAUAGAAGGUUUGUUGAGGAAUUUUCUUCCAUUGCUUCUCUUUUGAUUGCUUUGACUCAAAAGAAAGCUAAGUUUGUGUGGUCGGAAUCUUGUGAGAAAACUUUCCAAGAGUUGAAAGAUAGACUUAUUUCUGCUCCGGUGUUAACCUUACUAGAAGGUACAAAUGGUUUCGUGGUAUAUUGUGAUGCCUUUAGAGUGGGGUUGAGAUGUGUGCUCAUGCAAAGCGGUAAAGUGAUUGCAUAUGCUUCAAGGCAACUUAAAGUCCAUGAAAAGAAUUAUCCGACCCAUGAUCUUGAAUUAGCGGCGGUUGUGUUUGCCUUAAAAAUAUGGAGGCAUUAUUUGUAUGGGGUCCAUGUGGAUGUUUUCACCGAUCACAAGAGUUUUCAAUAUGUAUUUAGUCAAAAGGACUUGAAUCUUCGACAAAGAAAGUGGCUAGAACUCUUGAAGGAUUAUGAUAUGAGUGUCCUUUAUCACCUCGGCAAAGCCAAUGUGGUAGCAGAUGGACUUAGUAGAUUGUCCACGGGUAGUGUGGCUCAUGUAGAGGAUGAAAAGAAAGAAUUGGUUCGUGAUGUGCAUAGGUUGGCUCGACUAGGUGUUCAACUAGUGGAUUCCACCAUGGGUGGUGUCAUGGUCCAUAAUGGUUCCAAAUCAUCCUUUGUAAUAGAUGUGAACCCUAAGAAAGACCUUAAUCCUAUAUUAGUUGAGUUGAAAGAGUCGGUACUCAAGAAGUCCGUUGAGUUUUUCUUCCAAGGGGAAGAUGGGGUGCUUAGGUACCAAGGUCGGUUAUGUGUUCCAAAUUUUGAUGGUUUGAGGGAACAAAUUUUACAAGAAGCUCAUAGUUCUCGGUAUUUUAUUCAUCCGGGAGCCACCAAGAUGUAUUGUGAUCUACGGAAAGUCUAUUGGUGGAAUGGGAUGAAGAAAGAUAUUGCGGGAUUUGUAGCCAAAUGUCCUAAUUGUCAACAAGUUAAGGUUGAGCAUCAAAGGCCGGGAGGCUUGUCCCAAGAUAUAAGUAUUCCCACUUGGAAGUGGGAAGAUGUAAAUAUGGACUUUAUUGUGGGUUUGUCUUGUACCCGAAGGAAACAUGAUUCUAUUUGGGUCAUUAUAGAUCGGAUGACAAAAUCAGCCCACUUCAUUCCCGUCACGGUUUCCUUUUCGGUGGAAUACUAUGCCAAGGUGUAUAUAAGGAAGAUAGUGAAGUUGCAUAGAGUUUCUCUAUCUAUUAUUUCCCAUUGGGAUACUCAAUUUACUUCCCACUUUUAGAAGUCAUUCCAAAAAGGUCUUGGCGCGAAGGUGAAGCUUAGUACAACUUUUCACCCCCAAACGCAUGGACAAGCGAAAAACACCAUUCAUGUAACACUUCGUAUCCAAAAAUAGACCAACCAACAGAUUUCCAGAAGUUUCAGGUGCAACCCACGGACCGUAGGGUGACCUACGUUCCGUCUUGAUGGUCCGUGGUUCACCACCUGCAGCCCCUCCCAGAAAAGGCCCAUAAAAUUAUUCUAAGUCCAGACCUACGUAAGGACCUACAGACCGAAGGCCAGACUAGGGUCUGUGUUCCAGGGCCGUAGGUCAGACCCUCAGACAAAUGUUUAUAUGACAUGACCUACAGACGAACCCACGGACCAUAGGUUAGGCCACAAAUCGUGGUCCUAGUCCGUGGAAUGAGGCCCCAGAAUCUAGUCCCAGAACCCCGUUGAUGGUUGACCAGCAUGACCGUUGGUCCAUCCAUGGUCCGUUGGUGGCCUCGAUAACUUUUAAGUCAGGGGUCGUUUGGUCUUUUCCCUAUGUGUUGGACCCCUAAACUACAUAGUUUUUGUCAGUUUUAGCCUAGUAAACUAAUUAGAACCUAACCUAAUCAAUCAUUCAUCUAAAAUUCAUCAAACUUAGAGCAAAAUAGAGGAGAAAGUUGAGCAGCCCUAGUUCAAGAGCGCAAGGAGCGUUCAUUAGUUCCAACCUCGAAAUCAAAAGAUUUCUCGGUGAAUUUUAUCACCAGGUAUGUGGGAUUUCACUAGUGGUUUCCUUUCACCCAUUAGGUCCCUAGAAUUCAGUCAGAUUCUUGAUUCCUUUCAUAUUAUCUAGACCUAGGGUUUUUAGAAUUUCAGAAGAUUAUUAUGAAUUACUGUAAUGUUCCUAAUUAGAUUAUCAUGAUAUUAGUAUUAUUUUGCGUAGAUUUUUUCAUAAGUUCAGAACCCUAGCUAUGUAGUUCUUUUAGUUCAUGAAUUACACAUGCUAGGUUAGUUAUCUCAGUUAUACAUGCCUCAGAUUUGAAUGUUUCAUUAUUAGUACAUUAAUGUUGCUUUUUUAGUUAGCAUGUCAGUAUUUUGAGCUAUCCAGUAUUACAUAAAUUCACUCAUAAACUGUUAAUUACAUAAUCAAUUGGGAGUAGCUUAAUACCGAGUGGACUAGGGUCAGUCACCCUCAACUCCCAGAACUUCGUGCCCCCGUAGGUUAUAAGUCCUCUCUGUGGGCAUCAAUUUAGUGAUCACGCUAGUUAUGCCUCUAUACCUCCGACAGGGUAUAUUUGGUCCUCUCGAUGAGGCGUAUACAUCGGACUCCAUAUUUAGCUCAUGUGGUUUUAUGUCGGUUAUUAGUAGCUCCCUUAUAGUUAGACUCUAUUGCAUUGACCAUGUUAUCAGUUACAGUCAGAUUUUAGUCUCAAUUUGUUAUAAACUUGGUCAUUGCAUUCAGUUAGUUCAUGUUUAGUAUUUUCAGUAUAGAAUCAUGCUUAUCUUAUCUCAUUGCUCAAUUAUAUGCUUUGUUCAGUUAUGUUUAUUGUUCAGCUUUACUCUAUCUUACAUUCUCAAUACCUUUCAAGUACUGACGCAUACGAUGCGCUACAUCUUUUUAUGAUGCAGGUUCAGGUCCUCAACUUUCAGAUCACGCAUAGGUCGAUUCCCGAUCUUCAGCUCAGCAGUAUCAGUGGUGAGUCCUCAUUCUCUGAGGACGACAUACAUAUUUCUUUUUAUUUUUAGUCUUUAGUUUCAGUUUUGUUAGAUUUAGCUAGGGCAUGUCCCAGCAUUUCUAGUCAGUUAAAGGCUUAUUUUCAGACAUAGUUAGAUUCAGCUUUAGCAUUUGAGUUUGACCUUUUAGUUGUUGUUUAACUCUCAGUUUUUUAUAUAUUCAGAUAGUUUAUGGGUUUUCCCCAUCAUUUUAGUUUUAUGAUGAUUUAAGCUUCCGCACCGUACUUUCUUAAUUCAGUUAUCUUUAAGUAUGCUUAUGAUAUGCCAGUAGGGUUAGCUUGGGGUCACUCGCGAUCCUAGGUCCCGUGUCCGCGUCUUGGGGGUAGCUUCGGGGCGUGACAAACUUGGUAUCAAAGCACUAGGUUUAAGUGUCCUAGGAUGUCUGAAAAGCCGCACUAAGUAGAGUCCUUUUCAUGGGUGUGAAGUGCACCACAUCUAAUGAGUGGGAGGCUACGAUGUGUUCUAGGAAAACUUCACUUUUUUUAUAUUCUUAUCGUGCGUGGGUAUGAUCUACCUUCUAAUCCAUCAUUAUGCAUUUCAGAUCAUGCCUCCUCGUAGAGAUUACAGAAGGAAUGCUAAUGCACGCAAUGCUAAUGCAACUCUUCCAGUCCCAGAUCAGGAAGUUUCGAAUGCAGAGUUCCAAAACGCCAUUUAGUUUUUAGCUUAGAGUGUGACCAACCAGAACAACCAAUAUGUUCAGGUUCCUACAAAUACUAGUGGUGGAUCAGCGGCAACUAGGGUUUAUGACUUUGUUAGGAUGAAUCCGCCAAAAUUUCUAGGAUCGCAAGUUGAUGAGGAUCCCCAAAACUUCAUAAAUGAGGUCAAGAAGAUCUUUGGAUUAAUGCAAGUGAUUAGAAAUGAUAGGGUGGAGUUGGCAUCCUACUAACUUAAGGAUGUAGCUCACAUAAGGUUCACGUAGUGGAAAGAAAACAAAGAUACGGAUGCAGUUCCUAUCACUUGGGAGUAUUUUAGUGAGACCUUUCUAGAAAAGUUUUUCCCAAGAGAGUUGAGGGAGGCAAGAGCUCACGAGUUCAUGAAUUUGAGGCAAGGUAACAUGAUAGUCGAAGAGUACGUGCUCAAGUUCACCCAACUCUCCAGGUAUGAUCCUCACAUGGUUGCCGAUUCCAGGGCUCAAAUGAAUAAGUUUCUGUAUGGAGUAUCCGACUUGGCGAAAACUAAGUGUCGCAAUGCUAUGUUACUGGAGAAUGUGAAUAUCUAUAGGCUCAUGACUCAUGCUCAGCAGGUUAAGGGAGAUAAGCUUAGGGAACAUGCUAAGGAUAAUAAGAAGGCUAGGACAGGCAACUAUGAGUAUUCUCAAUAGAAAUCAGGUGGUGGAAAUCGCUCGCAGUUUCAGCAAAAGUCUUCAGCUCCAGCACAUUCAUGAGAUAGUGUUCCAUCUUCCAGGUUUCGACAGAAUCAGAAAGGUAGGGCAAUAGGCUCUAAGUCUCAUGGGAGUAUUUUAGGCAUCAAAACCUACCCAACUUGUCCAAAGUGUGGUAAGAACCAUCUGGGCAAGUGUCUUACAGGAAAUGAAUGAUGCUUUGGGUGUGGUCAGUCUAGUCACAGGUUGAGAGACUGUCAUUCUUCUAAAUAGGGUCAAGUAGGAAACAAUGGUAGGGCUCAGUCUACAUCUUCAGCAGUACCAGCAGGUCACCCGACUCAGCAAGGUAACUCAUCUGGUAUAGGUGGCGGACAACACCAAAACAGGUUGUAUGCUCUUCAGGCUCACCAAGAUUAGGAAGAUUCUCCUGAUGUAGUCACUGGUACGCUACGAGUCUUUAACUUAGAUGUUUAUGCUUUGUUAGAUCCAUAGCCUACUCUCUCUUCUGUAACUAAUAACUAUCGAUUUUAGUGUCAGUCCCGAAAUUCUCUCAGAACCCUUCUCAGUCUCUACUCCAGUCAGUGACCCAAUUAUAGCUAGAUGGGUAUAUAGAAAUUUCCCUGGCACAGUCUCUCAUAAAGUCACCUCAGCGGAUCUUGUAGAGUUAGAAAUGGUAGACUUUGAUGUCAUUCUUGGCAUGGAUUAGUUACAUUCCUGUUAUGCCUCAGUCGAUUGUAAAACUAGGAUCGUUCAUUUUCAGUUUCCAGACAAACUAGUAGCUCAGUGCCUAUGGGUCGAUUCAUUUCUUACCUUAAGGCCAGAAAUAUGAUCUCUAAAAGUUAUCUCUAUCAUCUAUUUCGGGUUAAGGAUUCAAGCUCUGAAACCUCAACUCUUGAGUCAGUUCCUGUAGUUAAUGAGUUUGAAUGGAAGGGUAGUAGGUUGGUGCAUAUGGGUCGAUUCAUUUCUUACCUUAAGGCCAGAAAUAUGAUCUCUAAAAGUUAUCUCUAUCAUCUAUUUCGGGUUAAGGAUUCAAGCUCUGAAACCUCAACUCUUGAGUCAGUUCCUGUAGUUAAUGAGUUUCCUGAAGUGUUUCCAGAAGAUCUUCCCGGAGUUCCUCCCAAAAGGGAAAUCGACUUUGGANNNNNNNNNNNNNNNNNNNNNNNNNNNNNNNNNNNNNNNNUCCAGAUACCCAGCCUAUUUCUAUUCCUCCUUACAAAGUGGCUUUAGUUGAGCUUAAGGAAUUGAAGGAGCAGUUGAAUGACCUUUUAGAUAAGGGCUUCAUCAGACCUAGUAUUUCCUUGUGGCACCAGUAUUUUUUGUGAAAAAGAAAAAUAGUUCUCUCAAAAUGUGCAUUGACUAUCGGCAGUUGAACAAGGUCACGAUAAAAAAUAAGUAUCUUAUCCCCUAAAUUGAUGACUUAUUUGACCAACUUCAAGGUGCUAGUCAUUUCUCAAAGAUAGACCUCAGAUCCGAUUAUCAUCAGCUCAGAGUCAGAGAUAGUGACAUUUCGAAAAUAGCCUUCAGAACUCGGUAUGGUCAUUAUGAAUUUGUAGUUAUGUCAUUUGGACUAGCCAGUGCUCCUUCAACUUUCAUGGAUUUGAUUAACAGAGUGUUCAAGCAGUAUUUGGACUUGUUUGUUAUCGUCUUUAUUGAUGACAUCCUCAUUUACUCUAGGAAUGAGGAAGAAGAUACGACUCAUUUGAGGGUUGUCCUGCAAACUCUCAAAGAUCGUCAGUUAUUCGCUAAGUUUAGCAAAUGUGAGUGUUGGUUGUAAUCUGUUGCUUUCCUUGGGCAUAUUGUGUCUAGCGAAGGGAUCUGAGUGGAUUCUCAGAAAAUAAAAGCAGUGAAACAAUGGCCCAGACCUACCUCUCCUAUAGAUAUAAGAAGUUUCUUGGGUUUGGAUGGUUAUUACAAAAGGUUUGUAGAAGGAUUUUCAUCCAUAGCUUCUCCAUUAACUAAGUUAACUCAGAAAAAGGUUAAGUUCCAAUGGUCAAAUAAUUGUGAGAAUAGCUUUUCAGAACUGAAAACUAGCUUGACUACAGCUCCUGUUUUGACUCUACCAGAGGGUUUAGACGGUUAUCUGAUCUAUUGCGAUGCAUCUAGAGUCGGCCUAGGUUGCGUGUUGAUGCAACGAGGUAAGUUUAUAGCUUAUGCUUCUAGACAACUCAAGGUGCAUGGGAAGAACUAUCCAACUCAUGACCUCGAGCUUGCAGCAGUGGUGUUUGCACUUAAGAUUUGGAGACAUCACUUGUAUGGUGUUCACGUAGAUGUGUUCACAGACCAUAAGAGCCUUCAGUAUGUGUUCACCCAGAAAAAGUUGAAUCUUCGCCAGAGGAGAUGGCUUGAGUUCCACAAAGAUUAUGAUAUGAAUGUGCUUUAUCAUCCUAGUAAGGCCAAUGUAGUAGCAGAUGCUCUUAGUAGACUAUUUAUGGGUAGUGUAGCACAUAUUGAGGAAGAAAGGAAAAAACUAGCAAAAGAUGUUCACAGGCUUGCUCGCUUAGGAGUUUGUCUUAUGAGCAUAUCAGAUGGUGGUGUAAUAGUACAGAAUGGGUCAGAAUCUUCAUUGGUAGCGGAUGUUAAGGAAAAGAAAAAUAAUGAACCUAUAUUGCUUCAACUAAAGUGUCAUGCCCCAAACUCGAGGGGCGCAACUAGCUCCUAAUGCCAAAACUCAGGCCUGAGUUGACCCUGCUGAACCAUUUGCUACUAGCGCAUGGCAGCCACACGCAAUCAAGAAAACAAACAAGUAUAUCUCGGCUUAAAACUAAGCCCUCGACUGGUAAGGCCCCUGUCAACUGAUCUAUAAAGGAAACAACUACUCCCAGGAGAGCAUAUUAAAUAAAUAGCCAACUAGUACAAAAGUCCUGAUUGGGCCGUCGAGGCCACCAUGAUAUCUAUACCAAAACUAAAAGCACGUAUAUAUCAAGUUAAUAAAUCAAACAUCUCACAAGCUUCAGUAAACCAACAAACUAGGAUAGUAUGUCCAUAACAUAGCUAUACACCCCACACACUAGUCUGCAAGCCUCUAAGAGUAGUAAAGAUUGGCGGGACAGGGCCCCAGCCUACCCAUAAACAUAUAUACAACAAAAGGUAACAAACCUCCCAACUCUGGAAGCUCCGGAGGAAAGGGGCUAGCCAAUCGGAUAGAAGUCAAUCAUGCUGCUAAGGAAUCAUCUAAAAAGUAUGACCGUUUUUACCCACGAUGGCUACAUGGUUUAUGGAGACUUGAGUUAUUAUGAACUCGUCCUCAUAUCGGUGCUCAAUACUACUCCCAAAAUAUACUCGGCUCAUAUGUUUUAAAAUAAAACUCUCUCUGUGGUUUGAGAUAAUUACUCAAAAACUAGCUCAAAGGUUCUCUUAGAAAUUGGUGUUUCCUCUCUUGUUUAAAUGUGAAAACAUUUACUCUUUUAGAAAUACAUAGUCUUGGUAUACUCUUUUAAAGAAAAGAACUUUGAUCUUCACUCUUUAUUCAACUCAAAACUCAAGUCUUAAAAUAAAGUUAAAAAGUUUGCAAAAGACUUUUGAAAUGACUCUAAGAACUCUCUAGCCUUGGCUCUUAACUUUCCUUGAAUUUGAAUUUAUGGAUUCAAGGAUUGUGAUUUGUGAUAGGAAGGAUCUCAUGAUGUUUAGGAGUGUUUUUAGAUAGUUAAACGUGAGAAACGAUCAAGAAAUUCCUAUCUAGAAACAAGUUCACGACGCGGAGAUGCAUUUAAUUAUUUGAUCGUGAAAUAAAUUUUGAGGCAGAAUGGUCUGUGACUACUUCGCGAUGCGGAGAAAAUUUUGUCAAUCCUAAGGAACAGGUCCGCGACGCUGACCUGGUACCCAGAUUUGCCCGACUUGUUCCUUCUUCGUUUUCUAACACCAAUUCGCCUAAAUUCGAUUCUUUUUCUCAAUUCCUCUUUAGAUUCAGAUACCCAGCACAUGUACACAAGAAUCUAACUCAAAAAAACUCUAACAAUCAACCUUAAACUCUCAAGAACAAAAGCAAUUCAAGAAUACAACUCAAGAACAUCAAAGUCUCAAUCUUUUAGGACGAAAAUCAUACUGAAAUAAACAUGUUUGGCACGUGGGUGAACGAACCCAACGCUAUGUGAACUCACAUACCUCGUAGGAUUGAAUCUUUGGCGAAAACCACAACCAAAAUCGCAAGAACUUGACGAAUCUUUGAACUUUUCUUCUCCUUUCUCCUCUUGAGUUCUUUCUCCAAUAACCCUAGCGUGAUUUGGUAAGGCAUAAACUGAUCUAACUCUGUUUAGACCCAAAUUAAACUUCUAAAAACGAAAUAAAUUAAUUGGGCAUGGAAAAGACCAAAAUACCCCUUUAAAAUCCGGUUUUAACUUUCAUUAUCUAGACAACUCAACUUCAAAUGGGCAUAUAUCCCUCAUACAAACUCGAAAUCAAGCAAACUCGGAGGCGUUGGAAAGAUAAUUCAAAGAUAUUUCCUACGGUAUCUUGUAGCACACCUAACUUAUCCUGAGCUAGGAGUUAUCGCCACUUGAAGUUGACCCAAACUCAAGCUUAGCAUAACUUUAACAAAUUUUCCAGAUUUUUCAUUCUUUCCAAAAAUAACUCUUUCUAAUUCUAGCUCUUUCACUUAGCGAGGUGUUACAAUCACGAACAUAAUUUGGUACUGUGUACGGAUACAUAUCCUUCUAAAUUAGGACAACCGUAGAAGAUACAUAGCAACACUUGAUACAUGAUAAAUGAUACAUUUGGUAGAACUUUUGUAUUAUCAAUGCUAGUUAAGGAUAUCUAUCAAAACUAAUAUUUGAAUACGAUACAUUGUGAAUGAUAAAAAAUUUAAUGCAUCAUAAUGUUGAAACGAAGACAUUAUACAUUAGUUUAAGAAACAAAAUCAACUAGAUACAUUAAAAAUCUGAACCCAUAUGCAUUAGAAAGGACGAACAACAAAGAAUCGAAAAAAAUCAACAAUUUAAUCUGCUGAAAGCAAAAAAAAAAAUGAUGAAGAAAUCCUCCUACACUUUCAUCAUUGAGGGAGUGAAAAUAUGGAGAGAUUAAGGGAGUGACAAUAGGAAGAGAAACGUGUACUUGAGUGUUGAAGCUUUAUGUAUCUGGAACAUUGGGGUUUGGGAGGAAAAAGAUGGAUUUUGGAAAUAUUUUGGAAUGGUAGGAAUAAUGGAAAUUGUGGAAAAUAAAAGUGUGUAUAUAGGUAAUUUUUCUGAAAAAAUUAGUAUUUGAGCCAAGUUCUAAUAUUUGAAAAAAUUUAAAAAUAAAAAAUCGCCCUAAACUUUUAUAUUUUAUCAAAAAAACACCCAUCACUUAUUAGUUCCAACUAAUAUCUAUCUACCAAAUUACUCCUUUAAUAACUAAUAAAUAUUCCUCUCUAUUAUCUAUAUAUAGAACGUGGCUAAGAGAAAUUUUUGUUUUUAAUAGAUUAUAAUUCAUCCUGAAUUAGUGACAAGUUUGAGUAUGCGAUUAAUAUAUUGCUCUUGUCAUAUUGUUGAUUGUUAUCAUUAUAAGGUUAUUUUUUAACAAAACAUAUUCAUCAUAAAAUGAAAAUUCAACCUUAAAGAUAUUUUAAAUAAUUUUUAGAACUUAUUGAUACAAAUCAUAUUUUUUGAAAUGAUCAAAUGUUUCUUCUGAAAUUUAUGGACAAACGUUGUAUCAACAAUAAUGAUACUUGAUCAUAUAAUUUAUGAUUGGUAAAAGGGUCUGAUAUACCCCUCAACUUUGCCAUUUGGAGCUGAUAUACUCCUUGUUAUGAAAGUAACUCAUAUAUACUCCUAUUGUUAUACAAAUGACUCACAUAUACCCUUUUCUUCUAACGGAAAUGAAAAAAUUAACUUUAAUUUAAUUUUUUAAUUAUUUUUUGGAAAAAAAUAUAAUCCAUAUGGGGUAUAUUUGAUCCUCCUCACAUGUAUUUUUUUUACUUUUUUGUUUCAACGACUAAUUUAAAUUUAUUAUUUUGAUGGUCAAAUAUAUUUAUUUUUCACUAAUUUUCUUGUAAAACUUAUUAUAGAUGCCCAUUUUAUUUUUUUUACAAAUACAAAAAUUUAAUUACAAUAUAGCUGAAAAAAAUAGUUUUAAAUUUUUUCUUUACACUAAAGAAUGACUGAAAAAAAAGAAUAAGAAACUCUAAUAAUGAUAAUCAAAGAAGUCAAAAAAUAAUUUUUGAAUGAAAAAAAUUAAAAUAUACCUUGAACUUUGCUAGAAGGAUCAUAUAUAUAGCCCUACAUGAAUUUUUUUUAAAUUUAAAUUCAAAAAAAUAAAAUUAAAACUAAUUUUUUCACUUCCAAUAGAUGAAGGGUAAUGUAAGCUCCUUUCGUAAUAGUAAGCAGGGGCGGAUCUAUAUGUAUGUGUGGGGUGCCACGGCACCCAGUGAUCUCGGUUAAAAUUUCGUAUAUAUAUGUGUAUAUGUUUAAGAAAUCGUUAUAAAUAAAAGUUGCCACCCAUUGAACGAAUUGGUGAUUGGUGCCGUUGGCAAAAGACACAGAUCCAUGCACCCGCAAUGCAGGUCCAAUUCUCACUCUCAACAUUAUAUUUUGGAUGCUUGUAUGAACUGAAGGCUUUCUAAGCUCUUUUUUUUUUUUUUUUUUCCUGUUUUUUCUUGUCUUUUUUUUUCUCGAUUGGUUCUUAUUUAUUUGGUACUAUUCUUUAUUACGUAAUUUAAAUUGACUCCUUUUUUCUGUGAUUAGUUCUUAACUUUUUUUAUUUUCUCUGUCACUAAUUACUGAUCUCUUGAUAUGAAUAUUAUGUGUUUAUUCUUUAUUAAUUAAUGAGUAUUGUAUUAUGAAAGUCACAUAAAUAUUACUACGAAUAUAUUUAAAUUGUUUUUUUUUUAAACAUAAGUUUUAAAAAAUGAUGAAUAUUAUUAUGUUUGAGUUCUUUUAAUUUUAAGGCUAUUCCGAUCUUCACGUUCUUGAUAAGUAAGAUGGUUGGGUUGAAACCAAUUUUUUCUCUACUAUAUUAUAUGCAACAACACAUAAAGACAAUGAAAUACGAAUAUAUUAAGUUAACACAAUUAGAUGGUUUAUACAAAUUUGAAAUUUUAAUGUGGAAAAUCUUUUCUUCCUCAAAGUUUUAGAGAAUGCCUCUAAAUCCAAAAAAAAAAGUUGAAUUGUUUAGUUAUCUCUAAUCUCAGAAUAACUAAAAGAAAAUAUUACUAACAUGCACAUUUAAUCAAUUUAUUUUAUAAAAAUAAAAAAAGAUAAAUAAUCCAAAUUGUAACCCAAAAUUAAAGGAACCGAUCCGUUUAUCUUACUUGGGUGAUGUGGCACCCACGACCUCUAAAUCCUAGAUCCGCCUCUAACAGUAAGGGUAUAUGUGAGUCAUUUGUAUAAUGAUAAGGGUAUCUAUGAGUUACUUUCAUAACGAGGAGUAAAUGACAAAGUUAAGGAAUAUAUCAGACCCUUUUCUCUUUAUUAUACUAGUAUACGUACCAGCGCGUUGCACGAAUAUUUAAAAAUAUAAUAAUUUUUAAAUUUAGAAAAUAACUAAUACAAAUUAUUAGUGAGUAACAAAAGUACAUGUGUAAUCAUAUAUAAUGUUUUAGUUUAUAUAUAUACGCUUCAUGCUAACACAAUUUUACCAUAAUUUAUAUCAAGUUUGUUUUUUGGCAGUUUUAUUUGACAAAAUUUAACAUAAUUAUUUAUCAAAUAAAAAUUAUGUUUUUCUGGAGGUAGUCUUUUUUUAAAAAAAAAAUCAAACUGAAAAAAUUGUUAAUUAUUUUGAUGAGACAUGUGGCUUUAUUUGCAAAAGUAUGAAUUUAUAGUAUUUUAAAUUUAUCCUUCUUAAGAAAUGAUAAUUCGAAAAUCAUUCUAUUACUAACAUAUUUUAUUUUUUUUACAACAUAGAGAUUUGAAAUAUUUAAAGUCAUUUUUAGAUAUAAUACAUGGAUUCACAAACCUUUUAAUCAUGGCAUGAGUCUGAUCUCUGUCUAAAUAAUUAUACACCAAUACAAAUAUAAAACUUAAUACUAUGUAGAAUUUAAAAAGAUAGAUAAAUAAAGACAAAUAAUAAUACAAAUUACAAAUUAGUAGUAUAAUUUUGAGAAAUUAUAUAAAAUUAUAUAUAAAAAUGAUAUGCAUCAACUCAAUGUUAACAUUUUUUUCCUUUGAAUAUUGUGCUAUUCAUGACGAAGACAGUACUUUUGAAAAGAAAAUUGCUUCAUUAAUAUGAGAAAUUGAAAAAAUAUGAUAGUGCGGAGGAAAGGAAAUGGAAAAGUGGGAAUAGUAGGUGGUUUAUAAAAUUGAUUCUUUGUUUUAUUUAUUUUUUACUUAAUACAUAUGCUCAAAUAAAAUGUUUUCUGUAAUAAUAUAUUAGGUAAGGAUAAAAUUAAAAAGUUAUAACAAUUUGUAACCACUUCAUCUUAUAACACUCUUCUCAAUUUUGAAUUAUUAUUAUUAUUUUAUUAAAAAACAAAACUUAUGCAUUAUUUUUAGUAAAACUAAUUAAAUUAUCAAUUCAAAUGUUAAAAAUUCUAUCAAAGACUUUUAAAAAAUUAUAAUUAUUUAUAAUUAUAUAUUUAUCUUUUAAAACUAAUUAAAUUAUUAUAUUGUUGUAAGUUUUCUAUGACUUAAAAAAUAAUCCAUAUAUAGGCCAGGCCACACGUAGGCAGUGGGAGAAUUGUUGUUGUUGUUGUUGUUGUUGUUGUUGUUGUUGUUGUUGUUGUUGUUGUUGUUGUUGUUGUUGUUGUUGUUGUUGUUGUUGUUGUUGUUGUUGUUGUUGUUGUUGUUGUUGUUGUUGUUGUUGUUGUUGUUGUUGUUGUUGUUGUUGUUGUUGUUGUUGUUGUUGUUGUUGUUGUUGUUGUUGUUGUUGUUGUUGUUGUUGUUGUUGUUGUUGUUGUUGUUGUUGUUGUUGUUGUUGUUGUUGUUGUUGUUGUUGUUGUUGUUGUUGUUGUUGUUGUUGUUGUUGUUGUUGUUGUUGUUGUUGUAUUUCUUAUUGUUGUUGUUGUUGUUGUUGUAUUUCUUGUUGUUGUUGUUGUAUUUCUUAUUGUUAUUGUUAUUAUUAUUAUUGUUAUUAGUAUUAUUAGUAUUAUUAUUAUUAGCAUUAUUAUUAGUAUUACUAUUAUUAGUAUUAUUAGCAUUAUUAUUAAUAUUAGUAUUAUUAUUAUUAUUAUUAGUAUUACUAUUAUUAAUGUUAUUAUUAUUAUUAUUAUUAUUAUUAUCAUUACUAUUAUUAUUAUUAUUAUUAUUAUUAUUAUUCUCCCCCUUAUUAUUAUUAUUAUUAUUAUUAUUAUUGUUAUUAUUAUUAUUGUUAUUAGUAUUAUUAGUAUUAUUAUUAUUAGCAUUAUUAUUAGUAUUACUAUUAUUAAUGUUAUUAUUAUUAUUAUUAUUAUUAUUAUUAUUCUCCCCCUUAUAAUAAAAAUGGAUGAUCAAAAAUGUUAAAAAUAAAUAAAUUUUAAAUUUUAAAUUAAUUCUUUUCAAAAUUAAUUAAUUUACCUAAGAAUAUAUACUAUCCAUAAUUGAAUAACCUUCUUAUAUGUUGCAUAUUUUAUGUUCUUGAACCUUUAAUUUUUUAAAGAGAUAUCCAUUUUUAUUUUUAUAAUUAUUUAAGAUUAAAAUAGAUUAUUAAUUUUUGGCGGAAUGGCCUAAGAGUCCCUUGUACUUGACUCGAUUUGUAAGUUGGAUCCCUAUACUUACGACUUUGCCAACUAAACCCUUAAACUCAUUCAAACACAAUAUUUUAGACCCCUUUCUCAUUCGAUGGGUGUGCGUGUAGUACACUCAUUUUACACAUGAAAUACCACGUCAUUUUUUAAUGACACAUCAUUAUCAUUAUUAUUUUUCUAAUGACACAUCAGAAAUUAAAUAUUUAAAAAGAAAUAAAAAAAAUUUUAAAUGCAUCUCUCUCUCUCACUCACUCACUCACUGUACUCAUUUUACCCCCUUCCCACUUCAUCUUCUUUGUUCCCACCUUCUACCAUUUUCAUCCCAAAAAUAAAAACUACAAUUUUCAUCUUUCUUCAUAGUUCACACUUAAAAAUUUCUUCAAUCACAAAAUGUGAUAGAUUAUAAUUAGUUCUUGCAAAUGCUUUAGGAUUCUAUUUAUUUUGAUUUGAUAAAAAGAGAUAUCAAGAAAACUUCAAAUUGAAAAAAAUAUGUGUACAUGUAAAUUCAAGUAAUAGAUCUUAAAGAAUUAAGUUUAUAAAAAUGGUGAAUAAUAUAUUUUCUUGCAAAAAAAAAUUUUAAUUUUUUAUUUGAUGAUUUUAUUGUGAUAAUGUGUACGUCAAAGAUGAAGAAGAAGAAGAGAAAAGGAGUAGGGGCGGGGUAGGGUGGGGAUGGGGGCUGAGGUUGAAGAAGAAGAAGAGAAAAAGGGUGGAGUUGGGUGGGGGCUGAAGAAGAAGAAGAGAGAAGGGGUGGGGUGGAGUGAAGAAGGAGGUUUUCAAUAUUUUUUUAAAAAAAUUAUUAUUAUUGUUUGUCUUAUAAUUUGAUAAAUUUUAAAAUAAAAAUAUUGUAUUCACUUGCUUCAAAAUGCGUGGGGUCACGUAUUUGUCCAACAUAAGCUCGGACAAUGAUUAGAGGGGUUUAAAAAAAUAGAGUUUCAUUGAGUUUAAGGGUUCAUUUGGAAAGGUGAUGAGUAGAAGGGUUCAACUGACAAACGAAGCCAAGUACAGAAGCCUCCCAGGUGAUUCUGCCUUAAUUUUUUCGUGUUUAUUAUUUUGAGUGGAGAUAAAUGAAUUAUUAUGUGCCUAUGAUUUAGGAGAAGAGAUUCUACACUUCUAGGAGUAUUUAAUUAUUAUUUUUUCUUAAAACGUAGCUAUUAAUUAAUUACCUCAAUUUUUGAAAUUCAUCAUUAAAUUAGUGCUCAGAAAUUUAAAACUGAUCUCAAAAAUUUUAAAAAUUAAUUGUAAUAACUUUUGGAGAUAAAUUAAUUAAUUUAAUUGUUAUAGGAGAAAAAAGUUAAUCUUGUAAUUGCUAUUAAUAAUGGGUAAAAAAAGUGAUUUACUCUAUUGUAGUAAAUCAUUUAGUGAGUAUAGAAAUAAAUUUUAAAUUAUAUUGUAUUGAAUAUUUAUGUAAAACAUUGUUAAUAGUAUUCAUAUAGAUUAUCAAAAAUGUAAAAUUAGAAAAUAAAAUCUCAUUAAAUAUAUAAACAAUAAUUAUCAACUUAAAGAUAUUAAGAAGCAUGAGAUCUUUACCACAUUAUGAUAUAUUUUCCAUUAAUAAAAUAAAAUAAAUACAUAGAUUUGGUUAGCUUAUAGAUGAACUUUUGGUAAAUAACUUUUUUUUAUAUUGAGUCUUUAUCUAAUAAUAUCAAUUGCAUCAACAACAAAAUAAACAAUAAUUUUAUAAGAUAUUAUUAUAUUAUCAAAUGAAUGCUACACUUUCAGUAUGUGUAGAUAAUAACUUUGACAAUAUUUCAAAAAUAAGAAUAAAAUUCAGAUUCAAAUUCAAGAAAUUCACACACUAAUCAACCUGCAAAAAAAAAAGUUACAAUCAUUAAAAAUAAUUAAUAAAAAUAGAAAAAAGAAUCAACAAAAAUUAACGAUUUACAAUAAUUAUUGAAAAUAGAUUUUAAUGCUUAAAAAGUUGCAAUAGAUAAAACACAUACACAAAUCUCAUGAUAGUGUUAAUUCUAUAUAUGAAGUUUAUUAUAGUGAUUUUUGUCUCAACAACUACGAAGUCACAUUAAAAGAAGGAGCAAAAUUAAAUCGUCAAAAGAAAAACGAAAAAACGAUAUCAACUUUAAGUAGUAUUUUUCAACAUUUCAAGGAUAAAGAAUAAUAUCAAUUCAACUAUAUAAUUAAAACGACAGAUUAAUUAAAAAUAUUGUAAAUUACUUCUAGUGAUUCGGAAUACCAUAAUCAUAUAACACGAAUAUUCAACUUUUAUUGUAUCUUCAAUAGUUCAUGGACAAAAUAAUUAUGUAAAACUAUAAUUUAUUGAAUACAUUAAAUAAUUAUUAUUUUUUAUGUGUCAAGCUGUAUUAAUUAUACAAAAAUCUUCAUAUUAUCUCACAUCUUAUAUAAACAAAUAAUUAGAAGAGAAUAUUCAUAAAAUUGCAUGGUUUUCACAACAUACAAACGUGGAAAUAAAAUAACCGGCAAAAUUCAAUUUCUAUUCAUGCGAAAUUUGAUCACAUUGGAAUACUUUAUAUACUUUUAUAAAUAAAAAAAGUUAAGGAAGAAACGUAUUCACCAAUAGAUAGAAGAACUAACUAACAUGAAUUAAAGAGAUAUUUAUAAUAAUAAUAAAAAUUAACCUGAAUUAUUUGCUACACAUCUGAAACAUUAAUAAGUAAAAUUCAUGGAGUUUCAUCGUUCAUCUCUUUUUCUGCCAUUUGAAAAUUUUGAAUAUUAGCAUGUCCUAUGAGAUAUGAAGAGAAUUGUGUUUUAAAUAGAUAACUAAGAAGUUUAAACUCCUACAAAAUAGUGAGGAAGUUAAAACUAUUUUCACAACUGCAACUUUUAUCUCUAAAACCGUUUAAUAUUUAAUUUUUAAAUUCAAGUCUUUUAAUUAUUUUAAAAAAACGUGUGUAGGUGUGUUUAUGAGUUAGUGGAGAUUUUUUUUUUAGUUGAGAGAUGGUUUAAAAAAUGUGUUACAACUCUAUUUUUUUAUUACUUCAAUUUUUUUAAUCAGUAAAUAUAGAAUAUAUAUAUUAUAAGUUGUAUUUUUUAAAAAUAUAUAUGUUUAUUUUAAAAUGCAAAUAAGAAAAAAUAAACAGUUACCGUGUUUAAGAUAAUUUUUAAAAUGUUUAAAAUUUUGUGUAUCAAUAAAAAUGGUUUUGCAGUUACAUUUCCCUUAUUUUAAAAAUUAUUUUAAAAUUAUAUAGAUUUAAUUCAUUUUAGAUAUAUAAAAAAUACGCUUUUUGUGGUGCUGACAUGUAGGCGCUAUCACCUCUCAUAUUAUAUAUAGAUAGAUACGUGCUUUGUCAAUCGUAUAAAUGCAAGGCGUCAUGCAUGACAAAAGAAUUAUCCUCAAACAUGUUUUUGUAUCUUUCUUUUGUGGGAAAUUAUAUUACAUUCAAACAUGAAAACGGUAGUGAGUUUGAAUUGUAUAAGGAAUAAACAAAUUCAAUUUAUUAUUGUUUUUCAAAAAAGAGAAUAAAUCAACCGUUUGUAACGAACAUGAUUUAAAAACUGUUUUAAAAUUUUAUUUAGUUUUUAUAUUAUUGUUUAUUAUUUAAUAUGUAUAGAAAUUAAAUUAUUAUUAAUUAUUUAAUAUAAUUAGAAAUUUUGUAGUGCCGACAUGUGGCACUAUUUCCUCUCCUAUUAUAUAUAGAUAGAUACGUGCUUUGUCGAUCGUAUAAAUCCAAGGCGUCAUGCAUGACAAAAGAAUUAUCCUCAAACAUGUUUUUGUAUCUUUCUUUUUCCUCUUUUUUCAAUCUUUACAUGCUCUUUUUAUGGUACACUUUGAAUAAUGGGAGUGACAGUGCCACUUCAUGCAUUACGUUCCCAUUACAAGGAAACUUCUUUGAUUUUAUUUCUAUUUUUUACAAAAAAAAAAAAAAAAACUUAAUUAAUUAACAUUUUAUAAUUUAAUUGGUGAGUUCAAAUUGUCAUUUAGAGCUGAUAUAUUCUUCGUUAUGAUGACUCAUAUAUACAUCUAGCUAUUGUUACACAAAUGACUAACAUAUACCUUUUACCUCUAACAAAAGUGAAAACAUAUUAAUUUUAAAUUAAUUUUUAUUAAUUUCUUAUUAAAAAAUCCAUGUAGGGGUAUAUUUGAUUCUUCUCACACUUUUUUUUUUACUUUCUAAAUUCAGUGGCUAAUUUAAAUUUAUUAUUUUGAUGGUCAAAUUUUUUUCCACUUAUUUUCUUGUAAAAUUUAUUAUAGAUGUCCCAAUUUAUGUUACGAUAUAAAAAAAAUUAAAUUACAAUAUAGCCGUAAAAAGGUAGUUUUAAUUUUUUUUUCUCCUUUUUCAUUCACACUUUUUUUUACACUAAAAAUGAAAGAAAAAAUGAAAUAAGAAUAAGAAAUUCAAAUAAUAAUAAUCAAAGAAGCCAAAAAAAUAAUUUAUGUGUGAAAAAUCAAAUACAUAAAUAUUUUAAUUAUUAAAAAUAAAAAAACAUUAAUUUAAAAUUAUUAUUUAUCACUUUUUGUAGCGGUAGGGGUAUGUGUGAGUCAAUUUUGUAAUGAUAAAUGUAUAUAUGAGCCACUUUUACAGCGAGAGUUAUACCAGCUCUAAAUGACAAAGUUAACGGUAUACUAGACGCUUUUCCCUUAAAUGUAAUUAGUUACACUCUAUUAUAACAAAUAAAUAUAUAUCUUUAUAUUUGAGCAACAAAUAGAAUAAUAAUAUUUUAAUUUACAUAAUCUAAAAAAAAUUGGUGCGAGGGCAAAUAUAAAUUAUUAAUUUUGAAACUAUUAAAUUUAAAAUAUUACUCUCCAAUCUGUAUUAAGUGAUGUUUUUAGCUUAAACCGAUUCAGGAGAGAAGGUGUGAAACCUAAAAGGAGGAGGAAGACUCCACUUCAAUUCAACGUUCUAAAAUAAUAUAAUAUUGACAAGUACUUACACAUCUUCUACGUAAUUUCCCAAUUUCUUGUAUUAAGUGAACAUAUUCUACAGUUAAGUCAUGCUAUUCACACUUGCUUCUACACUAUACCCCUCACUUUUUGAUUUUUCAUAAAUACCUUGAUUAUUUCACAAUCUUAUUUAUAUAUAUAGAUAUACGUCAGAUUUAAUCUCAAAGGCAAUUAAAUAUUUAAUUGUUGAUGCAUUCAAGUUAUUUUGAUAUGAAAGUGGGCAAUUACUUAUUCUCAAACAAGAAUAAUGAUGGGAAUAGUCAUGAUGAUAAUAAUUCUAGGAAUAAUAAGGCAUCAUCAUUGAGGUUGAGAUUCAAAAAUUCGUGUUUGAGGAAGAAGAAGAGGAUAUACAAAUUGCGUAAUUGGUUCAUUGACUCAAUUUUAUUCAAGAUUGUCUCUCUCUUUGAAGCAAUUGUUAUGGUUUCUACCUUAGCUUUCUUCUUAUUCUCUUAUGGUUUUUGUAUUUGAUAUAUUCUCUGUAAACCAAGGGUUCAUUAUUAUUGGACAAAAGUUGAUAUCUAAUGGGGUGUAAGGUUCAUUUGAUUUAUUUAGUUUUCUUUGCUGAUAUUCUCGUGUUUAUACACUAGGGUUCCCAUUUUGCCGUUCAGUUUUUCGAUUUCGACGUUUUCUUUAUUGUUCAUGACUCAAUAAAAUACAUAAUUCAAUAAAUAAGUAAACAACUUAUAUAUAAUAAAUUCGAAGUAUGAAUUCAAGUAAUUACAACAGUUGGGUUUUAAAAUGUGUCAAUGAGAAAUGAAGAGUUGUGACUUUUAUGAAAGGUUGUGACCUUUCCGAAAGAUUGUGGUUUUUCCAAAAGGUUGUGGCAUUUUCGGUAAGGUACAAUAAGAUCAUUUUCACACUACCCUUUGUUUUAUUAUAAAUUGAGGGAUUUCCUCUCAUUUUAAGAGAACCAAUUUUCUGGACUUCUUCUACUAUUACUACUAAAUCUAGUAUUCUAAGUGUAUAUUAUUGUUGUUGAGUGGUUCGCUGACACCGUAGUUUUAGGUACCAAUACACCGGUAAGUAAGAUCGUUCUAUUCUGGGAGGAUAUAUUUCAUUAACCUCGGGUACUUGAGGGGAAUAAUUUCCUUAAGGGGACACUGUGCAUUCAGUGGACUCAAUUUUCUUCUUUAAGAAAAUAUUUUGUAUAUUGUUUCUAAUAUGUUUCUGAUUCUAUUUUCUCUACUAGUUUUAAUUUUCUAGUUUUGAAAAUACUCUUUAAAUGUUGUUGUUUCUUAUCAAGUUCUUCAAAGUUUUUGUUCUAAGUAUCUUAGGAAUACAACAUGACCAACAAUCUUAAGGCAAUUAGUAUAGUACUAUUAAUACUAGAAAACUUGUCCGCGCUUCGCGCGGUAUAACAAUAAUUUAAAAUAAACUUUUUAUAAAUUACCUAUUCAUGAAAUAUAAGUUGCAGUACUUCAAGUUCAUAUGAUUUUUUUUUUUGCCAAAACCCUUAUAUUCAUAAGUUAUAAUAGUUAAUCAAUAAUAAGAAGGACAUUAAUAUUUUGAUAUAUUAUGUUAGCAAAAUAGAAAAUUAAUGAAUCAGAAAUAAUUUAACAAUCUAAAAGUGAUUACUUUUAAAUCUAUAAUACAAUAUGAAUAAAGCUUGAAUUUUGUAGGUCAUCAACUUUUAUUGAAAAAUAAAAAUAAAACUAAAAGUAUAAUAGUACUAUGAAUGACCCAGUAUCGACUAAAAGCAACAUUGAUAUUAAUUUGCUCAAAUCAAAUAAUAAGAAUAUCGACUAAGAACAACAUUGAUACUGGGUCAUUCAUAGAUUAUUUCUUAUUAUUUGAUCUGAGCAAAUUAAUAUCAAUGUUGCUUUUAGUCGAUACUGGGUCAUUCAUAGUACUAUUAUACUUUUAGUUUUAUUUUUAUAUUUCAAUAGACAUUUAAGAACAGCAUUGAUAUACUUAUAACAUAUAGAUAUCGAUCUUUAGUAGAAGAAAUAAUCUAAGAAUUCAAAAUAAAACGAUAAAUCAAAUUCUAUUUAUAUAUUAAAAAAAUACAUUUUUUAUGCAGUUUAUGACAAUUAAUUUUUGAAAUAAAUAAAGAAAUAAAAAAGUAAAAAGAAAAAAGAAAUGAUUUAAGGAAAUGAUACACAUAACAUUAUUGAUGAAUUUAAGGAAAGAAAUUUAAAAAAUUAAUAGCAUCAAUGAUGAAAUGAUUUAAAUAUGGGCGUAUUUGAUAAUUCAAUAAGGUUUUGAGGUAGAAUUUUUAGUCUUUCCAAAAUUUGGAAAAGUAUAAAAAAAAAUAGAAAAAUAAUAAAUAAACUUCCACAUAAUUUUUAACAAUUAGUAAGGAAAAUAUAACAGAAAAUGUCAAAAAAAAUUGAUUAAAAUAAACAAAUAUCUGAAAUAAGAAGGUUGUCAUCUUUUUCUAAUUUUAAUUUUAUUAUUACGCAUAUAUAUGAAUCUUUAGCCGAAAGAAGCGAUAUAAAUUAAAAAAGUUAAAUUUCAUAAAAAAAAAAUAUAUGUGAUUCUUACCAUGUUAUAAUUACUAAUUUCUUGUAAAAAAUAAAUUAAAAAAGGUAAAAGAAUUAUAAAAAAAAAAAGCAUUAAGGAAAUGAUAUGAAUGAAAGUAAUAAUCAAGAUGAAGUAAGAAAAAAUAAUAUGAUUGAUGAUGAAUGGAAUUAAAUGUAGUCACUUUGAUAUUCACUAAAAUUUGAAAGUAAAAUUUUCAGUUUUUUAAAAUAAUUCUUUUUAUAAAAUUUAAAAAACGAAAAAAAAACAAUAAAAUAAAACAAACUUCAAUCAAAGUUAUAUUAAAGAAAUAAAACAAACUUCAAUUAAAUUUCUUCAAUUAAAGUUAUAUAAAAGGGAAAAAAAACUACAAUUAAAGAUAGAUAGGGAAAAAACAUUUUAAGAGAAAAAUAACAAAAAAAAACGGAAAUUAGAAAUAAAUGACAAAUUAAAGUCUAUUUCUGUAUUAAAAAAUGCAUUUUUUAAAAUAAAGUUAUAACAAUUAAUUUUUAAAAUAAAUAAAUAAAAAGAACAAAGAAAGGAAAAAAUUAAUUUAAGGAAAUGAUAUAAAUUACAUUAAUGAUGAGUUUAAGGAAAGAAAAUUUUAAAAAUUAAUAGCAUCUAUGAUGAAAAGGAUUUAAAUAUGGUCAUAUUUUGAUAUUCUGCAAAAUUUUCAAGGUAAAAUUUUCAUUAUUUUUAAAAAAAUAGGAAAAAUGCACAAAAUAAGAAUUAGAAAAAUAAAUAAAUAAACUUCUAGACACAAUUUUUAGCAAUUAUUUUAAGAAAAUAUAAAGAGAAAAAUGUCAUAAAAAUAUGAUAAAAUAAAUAAAUAUAGGUUGUCAUCCUUUUCUAAUUUUAACUUUAUUAUUACGUAUAGAUAUGAAUCUUUUAACAGAAGAAAUGAUCUAUGUUUAAAUAAAAUAAACUAAAUUUCGUAAAAUAUAUAUGCAAUUCUUACCAAUUUAUAAUAACUAUUUUCUUGUAACAAAAAAAUAAAUAAAAAGUAAGAAAGAAAGAAAGAGAAAAAAGCAAUUUAAAGAAAUGAUAUAAAUGAGAAUAAAGAGAUCAAACUAAGGCAAGGAAGUAAAAAAAAAGUAUGAUUAAUGAUGAAUGAAAUUAAAUAUUCAAUAAAUUUGAAAGUGAAAUUUUCAGUCGUUUAAAAUUAAAAAAAAUAUAUUAAAUUUAAAAACAAAAACAAAAAACUACAAAAAUAUAGACAAACUUCUGUUAAAAAUAUAUAAAAGAUAAUAAAACAAACUUUAAUUAAAGAUAGAUAAGGAAAAAUAAAUAAUUAUUAAUUUUGAAUCUGUCAACUUAAAAAUGUUACUCCCUUAAGUCAUACUAGGUGAUGUUUUUAGCUUCGAUAAAUCUAAAAAAGCAUGUGAAAUGUCAUUAAAAAAAUAAUUUAAUUCAACGAUAUAAAAUAAUAUUAACAAGUACGUACAUAUCUUCUACGUGAUUCCCACUUUCUUUGAAUUCACUAUCUCUUUCCUAAAGGGUGCAAUUAAGUCAUGCUAUUCAUAAAGGGUGCAUCCAGCCCCCCACUUUUGAUAAUUCAUAAAUACCUUUUUUCCACAACCUUAUAUAUAGGUACACCAAAACCCCCUCAUUGCCUCAUCAAACUCAUCAUCUAUAUUGUUCUAUAUCCAAAGAAACAAACUAAGUCAAGAAUCCAAGUGAAAAUAGUUGUUACAUUCAAGUUAUUUAGAUAUGAAAGCAGAAGGUUAUUUGUUGUCACUCAAGAUGCUAAACAAGAACAAUAUUGAAAAUAUUAGCGCGCCUAAACGUGUUAGCAAUGUUGGUGGUUCUCAAGAUGAAAAUAAUUGUAGUACUAAGACAUCAUCGUUGAGGUUGAGAUUCAAGAAUUCGUGUUUGAGGAAGAAGAAGAGAAUAUACAAAUUGCGCAAAUGGUUCAUUGACUCAAUUUUAUUCAAGAUUGUCUCUCUUUUUGAAGCAAUUGUUAUGGUUUCUACCUUAGCUUUCUUCUUAUUCUCUUAUGGCUUUCGUAUUUAAUUCUUAUUUGUAUCUAUAUAUAUUCUCUGUAAACAAGGCUUCAUUUUGGACAAAAGUGGAUAUGUAAUGGGGUGUAAGGUUCAUUUGAUUUAUUAAUUUAGUUUUCUUUAUUGAUAUUCUCAUGUUUAUACACUAGGAUUCCCAUUUUUCGAUUUAGACAUUUUCUUUUUUGUUCAUGACUCAAUAAAAUGCAUACUUAAACAAAUAAGUAAAUAACUUAUCUCCCCCUUGGAUCAUUCGUCCUUGAAUGACGGCUGAACUGGGUAUGGAAUGGGGUUACUCUUAUCAUCUCCUCUGACCCAUGAACUUGUGUAACGACCUAUUCUCGUCGUUAUAAAAAAAUCAACGGGGAAAAAUUUUGGGCCGGAAAACUUUUUCGUAGUAUCUUGUGAUUUUCCAACCUAGUCCAGAUUUAAACGAAAUCAGAGUCAUUAAAGUAUAGGGAAAUCUGGUAACAAUUGUGUGGUCCAAUUUUGAAUUUGAUCACAUCAGUGGAUAGCUAAGACGUUAAGGAAUUCGUACGACUUUACAGAAUUGAAUUCAGGCAAGUAGAACUUCCGAAAUUGACCUUAGCGUGAACGGGUAUUCUCUAAGUGUCAUGGGAUGAAGGUGGGUAGUGAAAUGGGAGUUUGGAAUUCUUAAAUCGACUCACUGGUCCGUGCAAGCCGCUAAGGCGGGAUUAUUCCCGCUAGGGCAGGGCAACUGUAGUGGGGUGAGUACCGCUGUGGCGAGACAGUCGCGACUUAAAGUCGGAAAUAAACCCCAAAAUCAUUUAUUCUGCAAUUUCGAACUUGAGAGCUAAGGAACGAACCCAGGGGUUUUCUUGACAGUUUUCCACCAUUCUUGAGGCUAAAGGUAAGAUUUUAACUCCCCGAAUCCGUUUUUCGACCGUAGAACGUAAUCUAAUGGGUAAUUAUCGAUGGGGGAUGGUUUUGAUCUGGAAAUUAUGGUGGAAAAAGGCCUAAUCUGGGUAUAAGGAUCAUGGGUUUGAUCUAGGGUUGAUAGGAUUGUUGGUAAUCCGAGUAAUUAGUUAUUGUUUAUUGAUUUCCGUGUUAUAAUGAUUAUUUGUAGACCAAGACAAGUGGAACGAAUCCGGAAAGGGAAGGAUCAAGUUUCUUAGGGGAUUCAAGGUAGGUGAUGUAUGUUUGUUCUUGCUUUAUUAUGAUACAUGUUUGUAUACAAAUGUUGCAUUAUUGAUCACAUUAAUUUUAAAUAAGGAUAGAUGAAUGAUGAAUUCCAUGAAUCAUGACUUGAUUGUAAGAUUGUGAGAAUGUACUUUGUGAUUGUGAUUGUGGCUUAUUGAAUGGAUCAGGUGUUGCGUUCCGACACACUAACUUGGAUCGAUUGCCACGUUCUAGCAUAAUUAUGUGAUCGGUUGCCACGUUCCGGCAUAAUCAUUGGAUUGGGUACCACGUUCCGGUAUGCGAACAGUUUGGGUUUGGGUUCCAUGAGAGGACCAUUGACUUGACAUAACUGUAUAAUUGAGACUUGUGAAAUGCUCCAUUGUUAUUUAAUGUUGUUGAUAUUGAAUAUAUUCGGUAUAUGCAUGUUAUUAUAUUGUUGUAAUGGCUUAUGUAUGUUGCACUUGUGGGAUAGCCGCAUGAUCCUACCAGUACACUGUGGUUUUGUACUGAUACUGCACUUGCUCUUUCUUUGUUGAGUACAUGACAUCUUCAGGUAGCUAUUAACAGACCUCGCUUCAAGGGUGAGCCAGUUCUUCUAGGCUGCCAUGAGUUCUCUUUCUGUCUAUGUCCAUAUUUCGGACUUAGACUAGUUCUUUAGUUAGUCUUAUGUUUAGUUUGGGGUUGUAUUCCUUCUUAUUUAGACUCAUGGUUGAACUUUAGAUGUUUUGGUACGUUGACUUUCAGGUUCUUGGCGUAUUUUUCCGCAUUUGUUUAGUUGUUAGACUAUUUUUUGGAGUUUAUGGGAACUCUAUAUUCCUUUCCUUAGCAUUUAACUUGUUUUCGUAACUUAAAUGCCUUAGUAUUUUGGUUGCGUUGUUAGUUUGGGUUGUAGUAAUGGUUCUCCCACUGGAGGAUUAGUGUAGGUGCCAAUCACGAUGGUCUGGGUCGUGAACAAGUUGGUAUCAAACCCCUAGGUUCGUUGAUCUUGAUAUACCAAAACGAGUUUAGUAGAGUCUUGCGGAACGGUAUAUAGACGUCUAUACUUUUCUUCGAAAGGCUAUAGGACUUUAGGAAAUCUCUCUAUUUUCUCUUGACUCCUUUCGUGCUAUAACUUGAUUCCAAUUGGUAUCUGUCGAUUCGAAUUGGUAUCUAACCUCUUUCACUCUUCUGUCCGCAGAUGGUUAACACUAGAUUCAACAGCGUCAGGCUCGUAGCUUCCAUCAAUGCUCUAGCUGAGGAAUCUGCAGCAAAAGGUCCUGGUCGAGGCAGGGGUAGAGGAAGAGCUAGGGGUAGAGGCCGAGGAAGGGUGGCGCCUACUAUGGAUGGAGCACCGGUUGGAGAUGCUCCCAGAAAUGAGUCCCCUCCUGCGCACCAUGAAGAGGUAGAGGAGAACAUGGAAGUUGAGAAUGUUGGACAAGAGGAAGAGGUGCAGGCUGAGACUACAGGUAUUCCUCAUUUGGACCCAGUGUUAGCUCAAAAUAUUAUGUCGUUCUUAAAAGGAUUGGUUGGUCCUGGAGUGCUUCCCUCUGUUCAAGCAACUCAAGCUCCCGCCAAUCCUCUUAUUUCUAUCACUGUCCCAAGGUGGGUGGAACUGGAGGUAAUGAUGAUUUCUUCCAUCCUUUGUUGGGUCCAAUUAUGACUGGUAAUGAGCAUGAGAUGUUGACUAAGUUCUUGAAGUUGAAACCGCCUGUGUUCCAUGGUUCUGAGAGUGAGGAUGCAUAUGAGUUCAUCCUAGAUUGCUAUGAGAUGAUUCAUAAGUUGGGAAUUGUCCAUCAACAUGGGGUUGAGUUCGUGACUUUUCAGCUUCAAGGUGAGGCUAAGCAGUGGUCAUUCGCUAGUUAGUAAGGCACAAGGGGGUACUAAGACUCCUACAUGUGCUAAGUAUAGUAGAAACCACUCAGGGAUGUGUCGUGAUGACUCCACUAGUUGCUUUCAAGUGUGGCCAGAACGGUCAUUUUAUGAGAGAGUGUCCUAAGAGUAUGCAGGGUAACGGUAAUGGGGGUAAUAGAGCCCAGUCUUCUUCAGUUGCUCCACCAGACAGAGCUGCAUCUAGAGGAGCUAAUUCAGGGGCAAGCGGAGGAGGAAAUCGUCUGUAUGCUAUCACUAGUCACCAAGAGCAAGAGGAUUCACCAGAUGUUGUCACUGGUAUGAUCUAAGUCUUCAAUUUUGAUGUUCUUCCUGAGCAACUUCUUGAGCCUUCAGUGUUUCUACACCUGAUGGUGAGUCUAUUCUAGCAGAAAGAGUCUAUCGUGAUUAUUAUGUUUCCGUCAAUCACAAGAGUACCAUGGUUGAUUUAGUUGAGUUAGACAUGGUAGAUUUUGAUGUCAUUCUAGGUAUGGACUGGCUGCAUGCCUGUUAUGCAUCAAUAGAUUGUAGAACUCGAGUAGUUAAGUUCCAGUUUCUAGUGAACCAGUUAUAGAGUUGAAGAGCAGUUCAGCAGUGCCUAAGGGUCAUUUUAUUACGUACCUUAAGGCGAGAAAGUUAGUUUCCAAUGGGUGUGUCUAUCACUUAGUCCGAGUUAAUGACAUAAGUGUUGAGAUACCUCUUAUUCAGUCAGUUCCUAUAGUAAAAGAGUUUCCAGAAGUCUUUCCAGAUGAUCUACCCGGAGUCUCUCCUGAGAGAGAGAUAGACUUCGGUAUAAAUGUUCUUCCAGAUACUCGUCCUAUAUCUAUUCCGCCAUACAGAACGACACUAGCAGAGUUGAAAGAGCUUAAAGAGCAGUUGAAAGAUCUUUUAGAGAAAGGUUUCAUUCGACCAAGUUUCUCACCUUGGGGAGCUCCGGUCUUAUUUGUGAGAAAGAAAGAUGGUUCCCUUAGGAUGUGUAUAGAUUACCGCCAGUUGAACAAGGUUACCAUCAAGAAUAAGUAUCCUCUUCCGAGAAUUGAUGAUCUUUUUAUCAACUUCAGGGUGCUUCUUGUUUUUCUAAGAUAGACCUCAGAUCUGGCUACCAUCAGUUGAGAGUAAGGGAAUGUGAUAUUCCAAAGACAACAUUCAGGACCCGUUAUGGUCAUUAUGAGUUCUUAGUUAUGUCCAUUGGUUUGACCAAUGCGCCUACAACAUUCAUGGAUCUUAUGAAUAUAGUAUUCAAACCUUAUUUAGAUAUGUUUGUUAUCGACUUCAUCGAUGACAUACUAAUAUAUUCAAGGAAUANNNNNNNCCUCUUCCGAGGAUUGAUGAUCUUUUCGAUCAGCUUCAGGGUGCUUCUUAUUUUUCAAAAAAAGACCUCAGAUUCGGCUACCAUUAAUUGAAGGUAAGGGAAUGUGAUAUUCCCAAGACAACAUUCAGGACCCGUUAUGGUCAUUAUGAGUUCUUAGUUAUGUCCAUUGGUUUGACCAAUGCGCCUACAACAUUCAUGGAUCUUAUGAAUAUAGUAUUCAAACCUUAUUUAGAUAUGUUUGUUAUCGACUUCAUCGGUGACAUACUAAUCUAUUCAAGGAAUGAAGAAGAUCAUGCUAGCCAUCUCAAGAUAGUUAUUCAGACUUUGAAAGAUAAGGAGUUAUAUGCUAAUAAGUUCUUUAAAUGCGAGUUUUGGCUUGAGUCUGUGGCAUUCUUGGGUCACAUAGUUUCCGGUGAUGGAAUUAGAGUUGAUACCCAAAAGAUAGAGGCAGUGCAGAGUUGGCCUAGACCCACAUCUCCAACUGAUAUUAUGAGUUUCUUAGGUUUGGCUGGAUAUUAUAGAACGUUCGUAGAGGGGUUCUCGUCUAUUUCGUCCCCUUUGACCAAGUUAACUCAGAAAACAGCGAAGUUUCAAUUGUCUGAAGCUUGUGAGAAAAGCUUUCAGGAAUUGAUAAAGAGGUUGACUACUGCCCAGGUUUUGACGCUACCAGAAGGUACUCAAGGUUUUGUGGUGUAUUGUGAUGCAUCUACAAUUGGCUUGGGUUGUGUAUUAAUUAAUGCAGAAUGGUAAAGUUAUAGCUUAUGCCUCCAGACAGUUGAAGAAAAAUUACCCAACCCAUGACUUAGAGUUGGCUACCUUAGUAUUUGCUUUGAAGAUAUGGCGUCAUUUGUAUGGUGUUCAUGUUGAUGUAUUCACUGAUCACAAGAGUCUUCAAUAUGUGUUCACUCACAAAGAGCUUAAUCUCAGACAAAGGAGGUGGUUAGAAUUACUCAAGGAUUAUGACAUGAGUAUUCUUUACCACCCAGGUAAGGCUAAUGUUGUUGAUGAUGCUUUAAGUAGGUUGUCUAUGGGUAGUACUGCCCAUGUGGAGGAGGAAAAGAAAGAGUUAGCGAAAGAUGUGCAUAGACUUGCACGCUUAAGAGUCCGACUGAUGGAUUCCACAGAAGGAGGAGUAGUGGUGAUGAAUGGGGUUGAAUCAUCAUUAAUGUCAGAAGUAAAAGAGAAGCAAGACCAAAAUCCCAUUUUGCUUGAAUUGAAGGCAAAUGUUCAUAAGCAGAAAGUUAUGGCUUUUGAACAAGGGGGAGAUGUCGUACUGCGAUAUCAAGGUAGAUUGUGUGUACCAAUGGUGGAUGGACUCCAAGGGAGGAUCAUGGAGGAAGCUCAUAGCUCUAGAUAUUCCAUUCACCUGGAUUUCACAAAGAUGUAUUGUGACUUGAGAGAGGUAUAUUGGUGGAAUAGUAUGAAGAAGGGCAUUGCAGAAUUUGUUGUUAGGUGUCCAAAUUGCCAACAAGUUAACGUAGAGCAUGAAAUGCCCAAUGGUUUGGCUCAGAAUAUAGAACUUCCGGAAUGGAAGUGGGAGAUGAUAAACAUGGAUUUCAUCACAGGCUUGCCAAGGUUUCGCACGCAUCAUGACUCCAUUUGGGUGAUUGUUGAUAGAAUGACAAAAUCAGCCCACUUUUUGCAGGUAAAGACUACCCUUUCAACAGAAGAUUAUGCCAGGUUGUAUAUUCAGGAGGUGGUAAGACUUCAUGGAGUCCCUGUUUCGAUUAUAUCAGAUAGGGUGCUCAAUUUACUACACAGUUUUGGAAGUCAUUCCAGAAAGGCCUGGGUUCAAAGGUGAACUUGAGUACUGCUUUUCAUCCUCAGAUAGAUGGUCAAGCAGAGAGCACUAUUCAGACCUUAGAGGAUAUGUUGAGGGCAUGUGUGAUUGAUUUCAAAGGUAAUUGGAAUAAUCACCUACCCCUUAUUGAAUUUGCAUACAAUAAUAGUUCCACUCUAGCAUCCAGAUGGCUCCACAUGAAGCUCUUUAUGGGAGAAGAUGCAGAUAUCCUAUUGGAUGGUUUGAAGUUGGUGAAGCAGGGUUGAUAGGACCAGAUUUAGUUCAUCAAGCUAUGGAGAAGGUGAAAGUAAUUCAAGAGAGGUUGAAAACUGCACAGGGUCGUCAAAAAUCCUACACUGAUGUUAGGAGAAGGGAGUUAGAGUUUGAAGUAGAUGAUUGGGUAUAUCUAAAAGUCUCACCCAUGAAGGGUGUUAUGAAGUUUGGUAAGAAGGGGGAACUUAGUCCCCGAUAUAUUGGACCUUAUCGAAUAUCCAAGAGGAUUGCCAAGGUAGCUUAUGAGUUAGAGCUACCACAAGAGUUAGUCGCGGUUCAUCCAGUGUUUCGCAUCUCCAUGUUGAAGAAGUCCAUGAGCGAUCCUUCAUUGAUCACAUCAACUGAAAAUAUUGGGAUCAAGGAUAGCUUAUCUUAUGAGGAAAUCCGGUUCAGAUUCUAGAUCGCCAAGUUCGCAAGUUAAGGACAAAAGAGGNNNNNNNNNNNNNNNNNNNNNNNNNNNNNNNNNNNNNNNNNNNNNNNNNNNNNNNNNNNNNNNNNNNNNNNNNNNNNNNNNNNNNNNNNNNNNNNNNNNNNNNNNNNNNNNNNNNNNNNNNNNNNNNNNNNNNNNNNNNNNNNNNNNNNNNNNNNNNNNNNNNNNNNNNNNNNNNNNNNNNNNNNNNNNNNNNNNNNNNNNNNNNNNNNNNNNNNNNNNNNNNNNNNNNNNNNNNNNNNNNNNNNNNNNNNNNNNNNNNNNNNNNNNNNNNNNNNNNNNNNNNNNNNNNNNNNNNNNNNNNNNNNNNNNNNNNNNNNNNNNNNNNNNNNNNNNNNNNNNNNNNNNNNNNNNNNNNNNNNNNNNNNNNNNNNNNNNNNNNNNNNNNNNNNNNNNNNNNNNNNNNNNNNNNNNNNNNNNNNNNNNNNNNNNNNNNNNNNNNNNNNNNNNNNNNNNNNNNNNNNNNNNNNNNNNNNNNNNNNNNNNNNNNNNNNNNNNNNNNNNNNNNNNNNNNNNNNNNNNNNNNNNNNNNNNNNNNNNNNNNNNNNNNNNNNNNNNNNNNNNNNNNNNNNNNNNNNNNNNNNNNNNNNNNNNNNNNNNNNNNNNNNNNNNNNNNNNNNNNNNNNNNNNNNNNNNNNNNNNNNNNNNNNNNNNNNNNNNNNNNNNNNNNNNNNNNNNNNNNNNNNNNNNNNNNNNNNNNNNNNNNNNNNNNNNNNNNNNNNNNNNNNNNNNNNNNNNNNNNNNNNNNNNNNNNNNNNNNNNNNNNNNNNNNNNNNNNNNNNNNNNNNNGUAUCAAGGAUAGCUUAUCUUAAGAGGAGAUUCCUAUUGAGAUUCUAGAUCGCCAAGUUCGCAAGUUGAGAACAAAAGAGGUAGCAUCAAUCAAAGUCCUUUGGAGAAACCAAUUUAUUGAGGAAUCUACUUAGGAAGCUGAAGAGGACAUGAAGAAGAGAUAUCCACAUCUCUUUGAAUCCAGAGAAAGUGCAGACCAAGGUACUAAUUCUCUUCUUAGUACUCUUUAAAUUAUGAAUAAGCAUGUUGUUUGUUUGCAUUUGCUUGUUAGGUGUUUGAACCUGAUAAUACACCCUUAGCCUAGUAAGAGUAAUCUCAUUCGAGGAUGAAUGUUCCCAAGGGGGAGAUAUUGUAACAUCUCGCAAAAUUGAAAUAACUAGGAAGAAGCCAAUAAUUGGAAAUAGUCAUUUUUGGAAAGAAUGAAAAUCUGGAAAUUUUGUUAAAGUUAGAAUAAGUUGAGUUUUGGUCAACUUCAAAUGGACAUAACUUCUAGAUCAGGAUGAGUUAAGUGUACUUCCAGAUAUGGUAGGAAAGCUCUUGGAAUGAUCUUUCCAACGCCGCUGAAUUUGCGCGAUUCCGAGUUUGUAUGAGUGAGUUAUGCCCUUUGGAAGUUGGGUUGUUGGAAUAAGGAAAGUCCAAUCCGGAUUUUGGAAGGGUAAUUUAGUAUUUUCCUUACCUAAUUAUUCUAAUUCAUUUUUAGGAGUUUAAUUGGAGUAAAGUCAGAUUUUAGUCAGUUUAGAAAAGUGAAUUUUAUGCUAGGGCUUGGAGAAGAGGAGAAAAGAGGACUUGUGGUUUUCGUCGGGGGUGAUCCCUACAAGGUAUGGGAGAUCACAUAGCGUUGGGUUAGUUCACCCACGCGCCCAACUUGAUUCAAUUUCAGCUAAGUAUAUUGAUUUGAAAGUAAAUCCCUUGAAUUCUUGAUGAAGUUCGUUUGAAUCCUUGUGGGUUGUGUAGUUGGAGUUUUCUUGAAAUUGAUUCACGCUAUUCAUUGUGUUUUCGAGUGGAAUCUGAUGUUAUUUGAGGGUAUAAAUGAUUCUAAGUGUUUGGGGAAAGAACCCAUGGAGUUUAAAGGGUUUAGAGCUGUAAAACGAAGAAGAAAAUUUCGUCGGACAAAUCUGGGCAGUGCCUCCGCGUCGCGGACCGUUCUUCCUUAAAAGUUGUUUUCGAAACAAAAAUUUUAAUGUUUCUCCGCGUCGCGGGCCCACCCUCAGACAGUGAAUUUUUUUUAUCUUUUCUCAUGUUUAGCUAUCUAAAUUCAUCCCUAAACAUCAUGAGAUCUUUCCUAUCACAAAUCACAAUCCUUGAAUCCAUAAUUCAAUUCAAGGAAAGUUAAUAGUCAAGUUAGAAGUUAAGAAGUAAGUCAAGAGAAGUUCUUUAAAGCUUUCAAAAGUCUUUCACAAGCGUUUUAACUUUGUUAUAAGACUUAAGUUUUAAGUUAAGCAAAGAGUAAAGAUUUGAAGUUCAUUUCUUCAAAGAAGUAUAUGCGGACUAUGUAUUCCCCAAGAGUUUAAAAUGUUUUCACAUUUGAGCAAGAAAGGGAACAUCAAUUCCAAGAGAGCUUUUAAGCUAAGUUUUUGAGUAAUUAUCUCAAAUCAAAGAAAGAAGUUUGUUUUAAAAACAUAUGAGCUAAGUAUAUUUUAGGAGUAGUAUUGAGCACCGAAAUGGGGAUGGGAGUUCAUAUUAACUCAAGUCUCCAUAAACCAUGUAGCCCUCAUGGGUAGUAAAGGAUCAUACUUUUUAGAUGACUCCUUAAGAUGCUUUUAGCAUAAGCUAGUGGAUCUACUAAGUUAAGCGUUCUAUAUGACGGCAAAGUAUAGGACAGUUCUGGUAGCAUGGGAAAGACGUUGUAUCACCACUUAGACACAUAGUGGUGAUUGUCGGUUAGAUAAUCUCCCACAGAAACUAUAUUACUUUAUUAUAUAAGUAAAGUUGAAUUUCUUAUUGCAUUUUCUUAAACGAACUAAGUUGUUUUCCAUUGUUUUACAAGCUUUAUAUAUACUGCAUGUGUUUAAUUACUUUAUAUUGAGUUGAGUUGUUCAGGAGUUGAGUAAAGUCAAGGUAAGUGUUCCUUCCAGAUUCUUCUCAAGCUUAAGUUGUGUUUAGCAUUCCAACUCGCAUACUCGUACAUACAAUGUAUUGAUGCCAGUCGGCCUGCAUCGUCUUAUGAUACAGACGCAGGUAACCAGGAUCAGCAUCUAGCGCCUCAUUGAUCCAGUUUGAGCACUCAGAGUCUUGUGGUGAGCCUCCUUGCUUCCGGAGGAUUCCUUUUUUUUGUUUUUUAGUUUUAUUAUUAGUUCAUUAGGAUGUCGUGGGCCUAUCCCGACAUCCAUCUCAGUUGUUUAGAGGCUUCAUAGAUAGACAGACAGUCAGUUAGUUAAAUUCAUUUGUCACUACUUUAUUAUUAGCUUAUGUUUUUGAGACUUAAGGUUGCCAUUUUGGCCAAGUUGAAUGUUGACUUUUAAACAUUCUAAGUUAUGAUAUAAUUUAAGUGAGUAUAGUGCUUUUCAUCAUUAUAAAUAUGCAUAUAGUCUUCCGCUGAGUAAGUAAGUCAAACCAAGGGUUCAUUUGGGGCCAGCAAUGGUUCUCGAGUGCCAGCCACGUCCAGGGUGUAGGCUCGGGGCGUGACAGGACUAAUUCUUUAGUCUAGAAGUAACCCGAGAUAGGGCAAGUGAUGAUCCAUGCACUAGUCAUUCGGGGACGAACGAGGGGUAAAUUGGUAUCUAUUGUAAUGACUCAAACCGUCAUUAAUUUGGAAAAACAAAAAUUUGAGAAAAUUACUAGGCCACUGUCCUGCCAGGGCGGGCCAAAUACCGCUAGGGCGGCGGCUCCAUGGCGGGGUAAGCUGGCGUCAGAGCGGGAUAGGUCAGACAGAAUGUAAAUAACGUGAAAUCUUAUUUCUCCUUCUUCCUAGAAUACCUAAUUUAGACGUAAACCACCCUAGAAACCCCCAAAAAGCUGCUCUAAGCUUGGGAAGAAAGGAGAAGGAGAUUUCUAGCGUAAGGAGGUCGAGGGAUUGCAGAUUUCCGGCCAAGAUUCAUGAAGUCCAGAAACAAGAAUCGCAGCCAUAAUUCCGUGCAGCUGCUUGGCGCCCAUGUAGGCUAGGUUUUAUUAAUUGAGUAGUAUAAAUUUGUGCCCACUGCGUAGUAUAAUGAUAAUCAAUGGUAGGAUUCAUGCGCAGGCCUUAGAUAAUGAACUAGGGCUGAGUAUGAUCGAGUUGUUAUUUAAGUGAUAUAUGUUGAGGUAUACUUCUAGGUGAUGGUUGUGAUUUCAUGUUGUGUGAGUUUGUUCGUUCUUGCUUCAUUAUAAUACAUGUAUGUAUGUGAAUGUUGCAUUAUUGAUCACACUAGUUGUAAUGAGAUAGAUGAAUGAUGAAUGCCAUGAAUCAUGACUUAAUGUAUGAUUAUGAGAAUAUACUUGUGAUUGUGAUUGUGGCUUGUUGAAUGGGUCGGGUGUUGCAUUUUGACACACUAACUUGGAUCGAUUGCCAUGUUUUCGGCAUAAUUAUGGGAUCGGUUGCCACGUUCUGGCAUAAUUAUUGGAUUGGGUACCACGUUCCGGUAUGCUAACAGUUUGGGUUUGGGUCCCAUGAGAGGACCAAUGACUUGACAUAAUUGUAUAUCUUGAAAUGGUGAAGUUGUGCAUGGUUCAUAAGUGAUAUUUGAUGUUGUUUCCCCGGAAUUGUAAAUGAUUAUGAUGACUUAUUUAUGUUUGUUCUACUAUGUUGAUUUAACCGUUAUGUAUCUCAUUGUUGAAUGAAACUGAAAGGGACAAGGGUUCAAGAGUGUUAAUGUUGAGAGACAGGGGUUGUCUGUAUGUUGCAAGGGUGAGAAGUUGAGGUAGUGUACAUGAUGUAAAUACUUAGGUGGAUUUCACCUUGGAGAAAGGAGUUCGUGGCUAGUAGUUAGAAAGCUUGAUAUAAGGUACCAUGUGGCAAAGGCUGGGUAAUAUAAAAGAGGAAGUAAGGGUAUGUAGUGGAUGGUUAGUCGGAAUGCUUGUAGUAAUAUUCAUGGUCUCUUCUAUGCGUUAGAAUGGUUAGGCCAUGAUCAAGAAUCUAGUAAGUAGGUUGAAUGAGGAGGUGGUUAGUAGUAAGGGUACUGGGGUAAUUCUGAGGUAUUCAAGAGAGGGUAAAGGUGGAGAAGUGAGUGGUUUAUUGCAUGUUCUUGCUAGUUGAUUACUUAUGUUAUGCAGUAGGCGUCGGGUUGAUCGAUGAUGCCUACCAGUACGUGUGGUUUGUACUGAUACUAUUCUUGUCAUGCCUUUUGGCAUAGUCUGGAUGCAGGUCAAUGAUGUUUCAUUAAGUGAAGACGAAGAAAUCUCCAGCAGCUUCUAUUUUUCCUUCCGCAUGGUGGGAGCUAUGUCUUUUAUCUAUUAUGUCCUGUUUGUACUCUUAGUAGCUCUUGUACCUGUUUCGGCUAGAUCCUUGGAGUGUUAAUUACUUUGCAAGUUUAAACCGGAAUUGUUCUAAAAAGUUCUUAUUUAUAAAACCUUGUUUUUUUUCCUUCAUUUAUUUAUUUAAUCUUCUGCAUGUUUUAACUAUUGGGAUAUGAGGGUUCUCCUACUUAGGUGUUAGAGUAGGUGCCCGCACGCCCCGGUGGGUUGGGUCGUGACACAAUCUCCAUAUAUAUGUAGAUUUUUUGAUAAAAUUUACAAAGAAGGGCCUUAAAUGCCCCUCAAUUAUCAUUUCAAAGUAUAUAACCGCAAGUAGUAGUACUUAUUAACAGAAUAUUAAAGAGACAAUCUCCAUAUAUAUGUAGAUUUUUGAUAAAAUUUACGGAAAAGGGCCAAAAAUGCCCCUCAAUUAUUUCAUUUGGUACAAAAUUACCCUCCAUCCACCUUUCGGCCUUAAAAUACCCCUGACAUUCAUCUUAUUUUUAAUAGCUCCCUUAAAGUAAAACUAUUAAAUAUUUACUUAUUAUGUUACUUAAUAUGUUGGUCCAAAUUUAAACCCUUCUCAAAUAAAUAACAAAAAUCAUAUUUUUAAAUAUUUUUUUUAUGAAACCACAUAUGAUUCAUAUUUUGACUCGAUACACUUGAUAAUAAUAUUGAAAAAAAAAAUUAAUUUCAUGAUAUCUUCCUAUUGAUGUGUUUAAUAUCAACCCCAAUUUAUUAUAACGUAACUCAACUCAAAAAUGGGAUCCAACUAAAAUUCAUACUCACCCUGACAAAUUGUCCAUCUAAAAAUAAAUAUUAUUUUUAUUAAUAUAAAAUUUUCUAUCAAUUAUCCAAAUGUCUUGUUCAUUUUCUCUUUUAUUCUUUUUUUAAAUCUCUUAUUCUUAAUUAGGAUAUCCAGGAAUCAAAUUUGAAAUGAACUCACAUGUUUAUAUUCUUUUAAUUUGUAGUAUUGUUAUGGUGGGGUGAGAGUGGGGAUAAGAGAAAUAAUUAUUUUUAUUCUUUUAUAUUGAAUUUUGGGUACACACAAAAGAAACAUGCAAUAUUCGAAUAUAUUUGCUUAAUUAAGUCAUCUUUUAUUAAACUAAUUAUUUCUAUAUGAAUGCAUCAUUAUUUUCCUCCUUUUUUCUCUCUUGUUUGUAAUAAAUUGAAAAAAAUAAAAUUUAAAAUGCUGGACAAGAUGCAAAUAAAAAAAAAGGAAGAGAUAAAAAGUGGGGGGGAGGGGGGAGGGUAGAGAGUAGAUGCCUAACUUUUUUUAAUUUUAAUUUACAAUGAAUUCAAAAUCAAGUCAAUCAUGUGAGCUUAUAUAUUAAGUAAUUUCAAAUUAUUUUAACGGAAACUGGCCUAAAAUACCCUUAAACUAUGAGAUUUGAUACAAUAUUGUCCUCCAUCCACCUUAUGAAUAUGAUCCGUUAGAAUAAGGGUAUUUUUGAGCCAAAAGGUUGAAGUCAGAAGUAUUUGGGGGCCCAAAUAUGGAUGAAGGGUAGUUUUAAGUUUUAUAUCAAUUUAAAUAGUUGAGAGACAUUUUAGACCCUUCUCCGAAGAAUUUAUUACUAACUUAACCCGUUGAAGUUAUUUUUAUUUAUUCAUUGUGAUAGACAAUUUAUUGUUUUUUCAAUCACAAAUCUCACGUUUUUUAAUGAAAAGAUAUUUAUUAUUAUAUUCUAAGUACCUUAAUAAUGUAAAAAGUUUUAUACUAUAUAUAUAUUAUAUAAAGAAAAGUUAAACUCUAAUAUACCAAGUAAAUAUAUAUCUUUUUCUAUUCGAGUCAUAAUAAUAUAUUAAUUUACAUAAUCUCAAAAAUUUGAUGCAAGAAGAUAUAGAGUUGACAUUAUAUUUCUUUAGAUUAAAAAGAAGAUGAGGGUUGUCAUAGUUUUAGCUCAAACUCAAUUAGUAUCUUAAAAGUUUUAUUAAAUAAGUAUAAAUUAUUAAUUUUGAAUCUAUCAACUUAAAUAUGUUACUCCCUUAAGUUAUAUUAAAUGAUUAAUGAUGUUUGAAGGUUAGAUAAAUUUGAAAAAAAACGUGCGAAACAUCCUUUAAAAAAAAAAGAGAAGAAAUGUCCAAUUAUAACUGUCUAAAAUAAUAUUAACAAGUACAUACAUAUCUUCUACGUGAUUUCCAAUUUAUUUGAUUUCACACUUUCUUCUGCAUCCAGCCCCCCACUUUUGACUAUUCAUAAAUACUACCUUUUUUUUUUUCUAUAUACAAACUAUACAUAAAACCCCCUAAAUUGCCUCAUCAAACUCAUCAUCUAUUGUUCUAUAUCCAAAAAAAAUAUGCAAAGAAACAAACUAAGUCAAGAAUCCAAGUGAAAAUAGUUGUUACAUUCAAGUUAUUUAGAUAUGAAAGCAGAAGGUUAUUUGUUGUCACUCAAGAUGCUAAACAAGAACAAUAAUGGAAAUAUUAGCGCGCCUAAACGUGUUAGCAAUGUUGGUGGUUCUCAAGAUGAAAAUAAUUGUAGUACUAAGGCAUCAUCGUUGAGGUUGAGAUUCAAGAAUUCGUGUUUGAGGAAGAAGAAGAGAAUAAACAAAUUGCGCAAUUGGUUCAUUGACUCAAUUUUAUUCAAGAUUGUCUCUCUUUUUGAAGCAAUUGUUCUGGUUUCUACCUUAGCUUUCUUCUUAUUCUCUUAUGGUUUUCGUAUUUGAUUCUUAUUUAUAUAUAUAUUCUCUGUAAACCAAUGGUUCAUUAUUAUUGGACAAAAGUUGAUAUGUAAUGGGGUGUAAGGUUUCAUUUGUUUUAUUAAUUUAGUUCUCUUUAUUGAUAUUUCUCGUGUUUAUAUAAACUAGGAUUCCCAUUUUGGCGUUUAGUUUUUCGAUUUAGACAUUUUCUUUAUUUUUUCAUGACUCAAUAAAUACAUAAUUCAAUAAAUAAGUAAAUAACUUAUAUAUAAUGACAUUUUGAUUGGUAAUGGUAAGGUUUUUCAAGAACUCAAGUUCUUAGCUUGAAUGAAGAUUUUGAACUGUUUUUGAGUCGAAAUGAUUAUUUUCACCAAUGAGUUCCUAAAGCUUUGAGUAUUGCUUUCAAGUAUUAAAUUUCGAAUUCAAACCUUCCUUUUGAAAUUGAGUUUGAGUGAAUUGACCCAUUGUUCUAAGCAAUUGAUGUGGGUAUUGUUGUUUUCGGAAAGUGAUUGUGAAUAUAUACUUGCUUGUAUAUAGAUUGUGUAGCUUUGGAAGUGAUUCGGAAGGGAAGACCCAACUAUACCUCUAGCUAUUGUUAUACAAAUGACUCACAUAUACCUUUUACCUCUAACAGAAAUAAAAAAUAUUAAUUUUUAUUAAGUGUUUUAUUAAAAAAAUCCAUGUAGCACUACAACAAAAACAACUUUUAGCGAUAAUAAAUAGACAUAUUAAUAAAGAGUGUUAAAGUAUUUACCGGCAUUAGUUAAGUGUCAUUAGAUGCAGUGUCACUAAAGGCUUUAGGGACAUAUACAAAGAGUGUUAAUUACUGCUAAAAAUACAUAUUUAUCGGCAAUUGAGCUAUUGUCGUUAAUUAAUUGUCGCUAAAAAUCAUUUUUGAUGUAGUGUAGGGGUAUAUUUAAUCCUUCUGACACAUUUCUUUUCACCUUUUUAAUUCAAUGCCUAAUUUAAAUUUAUUAUUUUGAUGGUCAAAUUUUUUUUUCCACUUAUUUUUUUGUAAAAUUUAUUAUAGCUGCCCCUAUUUAUGUUACAGGUAUAAAAAAACUAAAUUACAAUAUGGCCGUAAAAAGUUAGUUUUAAUUUUUUUUUCUCUUUUUUCAUUUCUUUCUUUUUAUUUUAAUUUUAAUUUUUUACGCUAAAGAAUGAAAGAAUAAAUGAAAUAAGAUAAGAAACUCAAAUAAUAAUAAUAAUCAGAGAAGUUAAAAAGUAAUUUAUGUGUGAAAAAAUCAAAUACAUAAAUAUUAAAAAUAAUAAAAAAUUAAAUUAUUAUUUUCACUUUUGUAACGGUAGGGAUAUAUGUGAGUAAAUUUUGUAAUAAUAGAUGUAUGUAUGAUCCACUUUUACAACGAGAGUUAUAUCAGCUCUAAAUGACAAAGUUAACGGUAUACUAGACACUUUUCCCUUAUAUGUAAUUAGUUACACUCUAUUAUAACAAAUAAAUAUAUAUCUUUUAUAUUUGAGCAACAAAUAGAAUAAUAAUAUUUUAAUUUACAUAAUCUAAAAAAAAUUGGUGCGAGGGCAAAUAUAAAUUAUUAAUUUUGAAACUAUCAAAUUUAAAAUAUUACUCUCCAAUCUGUACUAAGUGAUGUUUUUAGCUUAAACCUAUUCAGGAGAGAAGGUGUGAAACCUAAAAGGAGGAGGAAGACUCCGCUUCAAUUCAACGUUCUAAAAUAAUAAUAUUGACAAGCACUUACACACAUCUUCUACGUAAUUUCCCAAUUUCUUGUAUUAAGUGAACGUAUUCUACACUUAAGUCAUGCUAUUCAUACUCGCUUCUACACUACACCCCUCACAUUUUGAUUUUUCAUAAAUACCUUGAUUAUUUCACAAUCUUAUUUAUAUAUAUAGAUAUACCAAAACCCCUCAUUGGCUCAUCAAACUCAUCAUCUAUUAUUCUAUCCUAAGAAAAUAUCACAAACUAUUUAGUCUAAGAAUUAUAUUGAUUUGAGUGCUUAUAUAUACGACGUCAUAUUUAAUCUCAAAGGUCAAUUAAAUAUUUAAUUGUUGAUGCAUUCAAGUUAUUUUGAUAUGAAAGUGGGCAAUUACUUAUUCUCAAACAAGAAUAAUGAUAGGAAUAGUGAUGAUGAUAAUAAUUCUAGGAAUUAUAAGGCAUCAUCAUUGAGGUUGAGAUUCAAAAAUUCGUGUUUGAGGAAGAAGAAGAGAAUAUACAAAUUGCGUAAUUGGUUUAUUGACUCAAUUUUAUUCAAGAUUGUCUCUAUUUUUUAAGCAAUUGUUAUUGUUUCUACCUUAGCUUUCUACUUAUUCUCUUAUGGUUUUCGUAUUUGAUAUGUUCUCUGUAAACCAAGGGGUUCAUUAUUAUUGGACAAAAGUUGAUAUCUAAUGGGGGUGU